rnacentral:lncRNA from 1 species
CUAAACUGUCGUAUGAUUUAAUUGUCUUGCCAGUGAGUUGGGGUGCAUACACUUGCUUCAUAGUCUUUACCACAUUAUUGACUUACUAACUACAAUUUAUCCAUGCACAUUGCACAGGGUGGACUUGGUGGCGCUCAAGCAUUUGCGAAGUCAGAUAAAUUGGUGAAUAUGCUAAAGAAGCAAAAGGAAUCAAAUAGACCUUAUGGUGCUAUAUGUGCAUCCCCAGCUUUAGUGUUGGAGCCCCAUGGCUUACUCAAGGUACGACCGUUUCUGCUUAAAUUAUUUACUCAGAUUUGGAUCACCCAAUCUGAACUUGAUGAAGGAUUAUGAUGUUGUGUGAUUUUAUGAAUGUGGUCGUAUCUCAUGUAAGUCAGUGAUGAAUUAAUUGGAGUUUGCUGACAAAUUAGAAACUGAAAAACUGCUGCUGCUUCAUUAGUUACAUUACCCAAAGAGUUAAAAUAAACAUCCCAAAUUUUGUCCCAAAUUCUGUCCCAAAUGAUAUGGCAUUUAUUGAGUGAUUGUAUUAUCUAACCAACCAAUUGAUGAAUGUCACAUAAUUUGAGAUGGUUUUUUGGGAUAAAGAAUUUGGGAUUUUUACCCGCAAAAAUCCCAAGUACUUCCUGCUCCUGCAAUAUCAUUGCUGUGUAUUUGCUUUCCCCUUAGACAUAUUCAAUUGUGGUUCAGGGUAAAAAAGCUACAGCUUUUCCUGCUAUGUGCAACAAGCUGUCAGAUCAGAGUGAAAUCGAAAACAGGGUUGUGGUUGAUGGCAACCUCAUCACCAGUAGAGGGCCAGGAACUUCUAUGGAGUUUGCACUGGCAAUUGUGGAGAAGUUUUUGGGCCGCAACAAGGCACUUGAGCUUGCAAAGAUAAUGCUUUUCACUCGCGCCUAACGUUUGUAUGGGGACCUGUCUACUAUUAAACUAGUGUGUUUAUUUCUGUAUUGCUACUGCUUGUAGAGAGGGGAAAUGGAAACUUGAAUUCAUGUUUGAAUAUGGAUUCACUGUGUGGGUUUGUACAGCAGUUUGGUUUAUAAAUAAAUGAGUUCAUGGAGUCACUUCAAAUAUUCGGAAUAAACCUGAGUUUAGAUCUGUUAUCAAUGGUCGGAGUCCAAUUGCGAUCGACUCACUGGGAAUUUUAAUUAUGAAUCAUGUUAUAUUCCACCUUUCUCAUAAAAUGUUAACUCGAUUUACAGGAUAAGAAGGAAAAGAAAGACGCUAAGAGAGGAGCAGACACCCAAAAAGAGUUGACCACUUUGUUGGAACAUAAAUCUCUAGAAUAUUGAAAUAAAACACAUACCAUAUCUAGUAUCAAGUAUGUAUGUGCAAGAAGAUACAAAUUUGAAGAUCAGAUUUCUCAUUUCAAUUUAUGUUCUGCUUAGAGCAAUGGCUCUUAUUCCACAAGCACAAGCAGGAAAGAGUACGCACGAAGUUAAGAAACACACAUUGCAAAAGUUGCAUUAACUACUUGCGGCAACAUCAUCCAAGAACUUGACUUUAAUCUUCUUGAGCUUCGCUGCAGCAUCUGUCAUAUGCAUUCUCUUGUCAGGUGACUCCAUACAACAAUCCAAUGCCAAAUCCAUGAUGCUUAAUAAACAAUCCAUUUUGGCAGAAAAAGCUUGCUCUUCUCGCACCAAAUUUGCGUCAACAACUUCACUCAAUCUGUGAGGUAAUGACUCCUUCACCCAUCUCCUUAAACUCAUUUCUUCUGUGAACAUUUGAUCGGUGGGCCUCUUUCUCGUGAAAGUUUCCAUCAAUAACACACCAUAGCUGUAGACAUCACAUUUGGCUGAAACAAUUCCUUCUAAUCCAUACUCUGCAUUUUUUAAUUUUAAUUAUGAAACAAAUGAUAAAACAAAUAAUUUUUUUGAUAAUUAAGGUAACCCAAACUUUGCUCGUGCUUGAAAAAAGAGCAAAAAUUUUAAUUACAAUUGAAACUUUACCUGGUGCCAUAUAACCAAUUGUAGCCAUUGUCAUGGUUUGUGUCACACAAUCUUCUCCUUCACCUAAGAGUUUGGAAAUGCCGAAGUCGCACACAUGUGCCAUCAUAUUUUCAUCCAAGAGAAUGUUGGUGGGCUUCAAAUCACAAUGAAUUAUAGGUGCCGACGAAUGACCAUGAUGGAGAUAUUCAAGAGCCGACCCCACAUCUAUCAUUAUAUUCAACCUCUCUAGAAUGUCUAAGAAAUAAUUGUAAGAAUACAACCACUUCUCGAGACUACCAUUUGGCAUGAACUCAAGUACCAAUGCUUUGAAAUCUGGAUUAGAACAACUGCUAAGGAUCUUUAUGAGAUUUCGAUGACGAACAUUCCGUAAAACUUCACAUUCAGAAUCAAAACUCCUAAAUGCUCUCUCUAGUUGCAGAUUGAAAAUCUUUAUUGCAACAUUAGUCCCGUCGGAAAUGGUUCCUUUAUAAACUGAUCCAAAACUACCUGUACCCAGCAAGUUACAUUCAUUAAAUUCAUCAGUUGCUCGUUGAAUGUCAAGGUAGGAUGUUCUUCUCCAUGUUGCAAGAGGUAGGAAAUCUUCGUGAUCUGAUUUUUUUGUACUCCUCUUUCGGCAUCUUAUGUACAUAAUGAUGAUAAUCACUAUAAGUACAGAGGAUACUAUCGGAGGCAAAAUAUAUUUAAGGACAAUUAGAGCAACGUUCUUGGUGCUUUUGCUGUCACCUUGUUUGCAAGGUGGGACUCGGAGUUUAGGUGGACCACAGAGUGCAUAAUUUCCGAAAAAUGAUUCAGUUGACAAGUUUUUAAAAGACCCCUUAACAGGAAUUUCCCCUUCUAGCCUAUUAUGAGACACAUUAAAUUGUUUGAGAUGUGACAAUAUCUCCAAUGACUUAGGAAUUUUUCCAGAGAGAUUGUUGCCGGAGAGAUCUAAGGAUUCUAAGCUUAUCAAACUGCCAACUGAUUCAGGAAUAGGUCCCUGAAAUUGAUUACGAGCCAAGGAUAGAGUUUCUAGAUCUAUGAGGGCACCAAUGGUUGAUGGAAUAUCACCUAAUAAUUGAUUCCUUGAUAAAUCUAAAACUGUCAAGACCUUUAACUUUUGUACAUUGGAAGGGAGAGGACCAUUUAAUGAAUUAGACGACAAGUUUAUCUCUAAGAUGUACUCAAGGCUCCACAAGGAUGACGGUAUACUAGAAGUGAGCUUGUUGGAGCCUAAGCGGAGUUCUCUUAGAGAUGUCAAACUCGCCAAGCAUGGCGGUAUAUGUCCAGAGAGCUUAUUUCCAUUUAACCUUAUUCCGUAUAUCAACUCCAAGUGGCAAAGAUCAUAGGGAAUGGAUCCUUCCAAAUUAUUUUCUUCAAGAGAUAAACCUUGUAGCCGCUUAAGUCUUCCCAUCGUUGGUGAAAUAGUUCCAUUCAAGUCAUUGAAGCCGAGGCUUAAGAGGAUCAGGCCACGCAACUUACCAAUUUCUUUAGGAAUGCUGCCCCCGAGUUUGCAGUUGGAUGCAUAAAAUUGUCGAAGAGAAGCAGAGAAAUUUCCAAUCACUGGUGGAAGGAUGCCACCCAAUGGAUUAUAAGCUAAGGCUAAAAAUGUUAAAUUUCUGCAAUUAGUCAGAGAAGAGAGAAAACUCCACUGAUCUGCUGAAGAUGAUUCUGUCGUCAAGUUAUUAAAUGCUAAGCUGAGCACGUCGAGGUGUCUCAAGUUGCCAAAUGUAUUUGGAAUAUGGCCCGAGAAUGAGUUGAAGCCCAAGUCUAGGGCAACGAGUUUAGUAGCAUUGGUGAUAGAGUGGGGAAUUAUCCCUAUAAGAUUAUUGGCCGACAAGGCUAAAUACUCUAUGUUCGGAAGCGAGUGGCCAAUCGUUGACGGUAAGCGGCCUGAGAGUUGAUUGCCCCCCAGAGUAAGGAUUCUCAUGGUUGAAAUGUUGAAGAUCGUGGGUGGAAUGAGGCCACUUAAAUUGUUGUCAGCAAAAACAAGAACCUCCAAAUUUUCCAGAUUGCCAAUCUCGGUUGGAAUUUGACCUGCCAUCAGGCCAACAUUGAGGAGUCAUUGAGCUUUUAGCUUAAGGUAAAUUGAGUUUGACAAUGUUACCCUUGAAAAUGUAAAAGGAUCAAAUUAAUUUUAUUACACAAUAAUUUCAGCCAAUAAUGUUCUUUACACAAUAAUUCUGCAAAAUAUGCAUGCAAAUGGAAAAAUAUGCUUCAAUUACAAGAGGUGGUGGAGCGUACCUCGAAGAUUGCUGAAGCUAAGAUCCAGAUACACGAGUUUACUCAAAUUUCCAAUCCUUGAAGGAAUAUUUCCACCAAUAGUAUUGAACUCUGCACGCAGCGUCUCUAGCCUUGAUAAGUUGAAGAGAGAAUUAGGGAUGGGACCUGUGAAACUGUUAUUAUAAAGUCUCAAUAUUCGGAGUUUAGAUAAGACACCAAUCCAUGAUGGAAAGCUUCCGCUCAAUUUAUUGUAAGCGAAACUCACGACUCUGAGUCGACGUAAUUGCCCCAAUUCUUUCGGCAGAUGGCCAUGAAAAUUGUUCUCACUAAUGUCAAGAGACACUAGAAAUGAGAGAUUUCCCAAGUGUAGUGGAAUGGUGCCUCCGAGACCCAUAUCUGAAAGAUUCAAGGCAGUGACUCGUUGAUGGCGUGAACCACAAGAGAUACCAACCCAGCUACAUAUUGGAUAAGAUAUAGACCAAUUAUUUGCCAGGGCACUCCGAUAAUCAAGAAUGUGGGCUUUGAAUGCCAGAAGAGCUGAUUGAUCUGUUGUUAAAUCGUUUAAAGUCGUCACAGCUAAGCUAGCAAUGAGAUACUGUAACACUAACACCGACAUAGGAACAAAGAAGAAUGAUAAGCGCAUAUUGGUCGUUUUUAGUAGUAGUUGCAAGGCGAGAUUGAUACAAGUUUUAAGUAAAGGAAAUUAGCAUAUACUUAUAAUGAGACAUAUGAAUUUGAAAAUAAGAGCAGAAAAAAUAUACAGGAGACUUGCAAAUUGUUAUAUUCUGUCAUUGAGCGAGCCGUCCAAGUAAACGCAUUUACACUUGAACCCUAAAUAAAGGCCUUAUGGCACUUUAAUUGCCAUAAGGAAGAAGAUGCUCAACAUUGCCAAAAGUGUUUUUCUUGAAGUCUCGUCUUCCGUAAUGUUUGUAAAAUCGAGGUUUUACCAUCUCUAAUUAAAUAUUUACUCUUGAUUUAGACCACGUAAUCUAAACUUGACGAAAAAUUAUGAUCUUAUGUGAUUUUAUGAAUGUGGUCUUAUCUCUUAUAAGUCGGCAAUGAAUUAAUUAAAGCUUGCUGACAAAUUACAAGCUCAAAAAUAUCUUUUACUUAUUCACAAUCUUAUUUCAUUUUUUUAUAACAUAAUAUUAAAAAUUUGUCUAUUAAAUUAAUUUAAUAAUUUUUUUAAUAAAAAAUCUCAUUGACGACCAAACAACUAAUUUUUUUUUUAUAAAAGCUUUGCUUGUUAAAAUUAUGCUGAAAAAAACUCUACUUAAGUAAGUUCUAUUUUUUUUAUAAAAGCCAUUUUAUUUCUUUAUCUUUUUUAAUUAUUAUUGGAAAAGUAGCGCAGCUUAUCAAAAAAGGAAAGAAAAAAAAAAGUCAAAGUGACGAGUGGCUUGUUUUUUAAUUUCAAAGUCAAUGCAAAGUAAAAGUACCGAAAUAAUCAGUUUUUAAAUCCAAAUAAGUGGCAAUAAAGGGAGGUCUUGUUAGGGGUGUUCGCGGAUCGAAUUUUAUGGAUUGGACAUCAAUCCAUAUUCGAUCCACGAUUUUACGGAUUAUAAAAUUUCAAUCCAAUUCAAUCCACGGAUUUGUAAAAUUCAAUCCAAAUCCAAUCCAUAAAUCUGCGGAUCAGAUGCAAAUUUGACCUAAUCCAUAUCCAAUCUACAAUUUUGCGGAUUGGUUUGUGGACUGAAAAUUUUUAAUUCUGUCAAAUCCACGAACUAACUAAAUAAAAAAAUUUAAUAUAAAAAUAAUUUUACUACGGAUCAAAUUUAAAAUUAAAUAAGAUUUAAAUAAAUAAAUUGCUUAAAUAAAGCUAGCAAAUACAUUUAAAGUUUCAAAAUAUAACACACCAAAAUGAAAAAAAUAUCAUUCGUUUUAGAUCAAGGAAAUUAACUAUUUAGUAAACUAUAUUUGUUUAUUUAAUUAUUUUUUAUUUUUUAUUAUUAUCGGAUAUGAUAUAAUAUAAUGUUAAUGUAACUAUAUUUUAACUUAUUUAUUUACUAGUAAGUACUAAUAACAUAUUUACAAGUUUUAUUUUUAAUUAAAUAAAUACUUUUUAUUUUUUUGCGGAUUCGCGGAUUUUUACCGAUUUACAGAAGUAGAUCCAUAUCCAAUCCACUGAUUGCGGAUUAUCAAAUUUUCAAUUCAAUCCAAUCCACCAAUCCACGGAUCAGACGGAUUGAGCAGAUCGAAUUAGAUUAUGAACACCCUUAGGUUUUGGUGUGCAUUGUUGAAAACUUGGAAGUCUAUAUGACCAUUUAACCAAACUAUAGGGGUAUAACUGUCACAAAUUUUUAAAAAUAAAUUUUACCAAACAUUUAAAUGAUUUUUUUUUCACAAUUGAUUAUUAAAUUCUAAGUGUUAGACUAUUGUAAGAAUACAAAUAAUUGACAUGGACAUAAUAUUAAAUAAAAUUUACUUAUAUAUAUAUAUAUAUAUAUAUAUAUAUAUAUAUAUAUAUAUUAUUGUUUGUAUAUAAAAAUUGCUAACUAAAAAAUAUUUAUAUUUUAUCAAUUUUAUUUCUUUUAUUUUUUUAUCUCAAGAUAAAUAUAAUAAUAACAAUCUCUCUAAAUUUAAUUAUUUUUGCUCUUUAUUGAAUAAGGAUAAUUUUGAGUUUCUGUAAUAUAUGUGAGGAUAUAUAUAAAAUUGUAUUAAAUAUAUAACUAUUCUCAAAAUUAAAUUUUAAAAAACUAGUUCAUUCUCACUUUUCAUUUAAUUAGGCAAAUGGCCACAGAAAUUGUUCUCCCUCAUAUCCAAAUAAACUGAAAACGAGAGAUUUCGUAAGUGUGGAGGGAUGAUGCCUUCGAAACCCAUCACUGAAAGAUUCAAGUUUGUGACUCUAUGGUAUGAGCACCACAACAUAUGCCAAUUCGACUGCAUAUUGAGUAAGACAUGGACCAAUUAUUCAAGAGAUUCAUGAGCCUUCGAAGUGAGAAAUAAAGCAAAUUAUGUGGUGGUCGUGGGUCAAUUGACUACGUUUCGUGAUCUACGUGCGAUUGCAACAGUCGGUUCAUUAAGUGAAAUUAAUGACUCGUCCACUAUAGUAAGAUACUGUCCUCAUUAGGUUGGUGCUGGGUCAAUUUUAUCCAUGAGUCAACUUACAUUAAUUUGAAUUAAUUUAUAAGAGUAUCUCAUUUUCGUUGAUUACGAGUUGUGAUCGAUGACAUGCACGAAAGCAGUCAAUUUACAGGUCAUUCACUAUAUAUAUGGGGUCUAUGGGUGGAUGGAUCUAACGUAAAUUAAGGGUUGAUGAUGACCCUCGACUUCUAACGACGACCAUCGAAGACGACCUUGACUUUACAUGCAAACACACAAUUCGCUCUCAUACAUUAUGUUUUAAAAUUUCUCCAUUUUCCGGGGCCCCGCUGUCGACCGUACACAGUUUAAUUUGUAUAUACAAGACCUCAUUGUUUCUAGCAAGCAUAGAGCCAUAGACCAUAUUAAUUCCAAUUACAUAAAUCUUCAUUUUUAUCAUGAUUUUGGAUCUCGAGCAGUGUGGAUAUAUCCAACCAGAUCCGCCUCACUGGCAUCCCAAUAUAUUUUAGAAUUGAGUAAUGAGUAUCAAUAAAUGUGUAAUUGUAAAUCUACAACGUUUAAUUUUAAUUUGAGGACUCAAAUGAAUUUAUCCAACAAUACCUCGUUAAAUUAAUAUUCCAUAAAUUUUUAACUUUAAUUAAAUAACAAAUUUUGUCCGUCCCAACUUAGGAUUAACGUGGUAAUUAAUAAUUUGAUAAAUUGUUAGAUAAUAAUUUUUUAAAAAAAUCUUAUUUUUUUAUUGGAUCAAACUGAUAUAUAAAUGAAUAAUUAAUUAAUUUUAAAACUAAAUUCAUGUUAUGUCAAUCAAAUGUUAUUGCAAAGAAGACUAGCAGCGACGCUUUGAAAGGUACACCAAAGCCUUUUGCACCUUCUCCUCCGUGACCACCAAUAGAUACUUCCACCAUUUCAACGUCAUGACAUGAUGUAAGUUUCUUUUGUAGAAUUUGCGAAUUGGUAAUCUUUUACACGCGUAUAUUUAUAUCAUUGUAUAGUUAUAGAUUCAAUUACUUUUAUGAUGCAUUUAUUAAUUUGGAAUUGAAGUAGACAAGAAUGGGCUGUAAUGUGAAUGGAGAAUCGAAAUUAGAAUAAGUUAUUUACUUGAACUGUAGAAAUCGAAAUGAGUUGGAUUGUCAUUAAUGUGUUUACUUUGUCUUGGAAUCAGAAUUGAAAUAAGUUAGUUUAUAACAAAUUACUAAAAACUACUUAAUGAACUAUUGUUAUAAUUAUUAUUUUGUAUUUUAAUUAUUAUGAUUAUUUAUUAAAAAUUAUUAUUGUUAUUAUUACUUAUUGUUAAUAGUAUAUUAAUAUAUUAAUAAAUUAUAAUAAUAUAUUAAAUAACUAUAAUAUAUUAAAAAAUAUACUUGUAUUUACAAGAAAUGACUGAUAAAAUUUCUAAAAUCGUCUUCCUCCCUAAAACUCUUAAUGCCACAGCCCUAAAAAUUAAAAAGAUUUGGGAAUUAUAUGUCUUUUUUAAAAUAUUAAAGGGUGUUUAUUUCCUUAAACGGUGGGGACUAAAAGUCCUAUUCCCAAACGAGUAGUGUGCCGGCGUUGGAGGCUAGAAAGACAAUUUGUUACAUUGCUUCAGAAGUGCUUAAUGGAAAUUUUGGUGAGGCAUCACAUAAUUUAAAGGAUCAGGCUACGGUGCAACUGUGGUACCGUACUACAGUUGCAUCCAGCCGUUUUAAUUCACUUAUAUUGGUGAGGUUCACUGGCAUCCAACGGCUGAAUGCAACUAUGGCACGGUACCACAGUUGCACCACAAGUUUCCCCUAAUUUAAAUUACUGGAAUUUGCAUCAAUGGUUUUUAUUGGUUUAUUUACUCGUCAACAAAUUACUGUAACUGCAGAAAACAGUGUAACACAUUGUAUAAUACGUUAAUACGUUAUAUUGGUCAGUGCUCCUACCAAGGAAAUCUUUUUAAGUUUUGUUAGCAGAAUAUUCUUGUAAGGGUGGAGGCAUAAGAGAUUAAUAAUUUAAUAUCUCUUGUUCAUUAGAAGAUUUUUUUUUUUUGGGAAAAAAAAAGAAGAAGAUGGUUUGUUUAAUGUUGAUAAAUUUUGAAGUACAAUUUUAUAGAUGUCGAAUGUGGGCAAAAAGUAAAGAAGCUCAAACACUUUUCUACAUCUAAACUAAUCAUUAGGAUUUAUAUUAACUAAUAAACCCUAAUAAUACGAGCGUUCAUAAAAACUUCAUAUGAACAUUGAACCAGCAUGGCAUCAUAUUGUAAUAAGUUGUACAGCUGUCAAUCUCUUAUUAGUCAGAUAUAUUCUGAGUUAGUUACAUGAAUGUAGUAUAAAUAUCAUACUCUGUACACAUUCUUAGUUAGUUACUUCAGUAGAAUUUUCUCUCCUCUACUCAAUUUUUAAGUUAUCUUUUAUAUUGGGGGCAAAUGAUAUUUUAUUAACGAAAUGAUUUUGCCCUCUUAAUAAGCUCUCAUUUCUCCGCUUUGAUCAACACAGCCUUCUUUUAUUACAUCAAAAUUCUUCCUCUUUCCAUCAAAAUUUCAUGGAUCUGCCCUUACGUAAAAUCAUAUGAGAGUAUAUAAUAAAAUUAAUUAGGUAUGUUUGGAACAUUUUUGGUAUCCUUAAGCUGAUUUUAUUUUUAUUUUUUUAUAGUAUAUAUUGUCAAAAGUAAAUGCUAUAAACACUUUCGGAAAAAAAGAUGAAGAGCACCUUUGGAGUAAUUUUUUCUAUAGGAACUAACAAAACAACUAAAUGAUGUAUGUAUCUCUAAGAUUUAUUAUUAUUAAUUUUUUUUUCUGUAGUUGACAAAGCAUCAUGAUUGUGUUGGAUGAUAAGAUUAAAGGUGGGAAUGGUCCGAAUGGACCAAUUUUUUAGGAUAAAAAAAAAAAUGAUUCAAUCCUGGGCAUGUUUGGCUAUCGAAACUAGUUGAUUAGUCUAAAGUUUAAUUCAAAAGUAAUGGGACUAUUAAUCCUUAGGAAAAUUAUCAUUUGUAUACUCUAUAGAUGCUCUGUUAUAUAAAAAAUUACAACACUUUGAGAGUGUAUCAAUCGUCCACCCUAAGUUGACAAAAUAUAUCUGCCGUCCAUCAAACCGUUACUUGCUGUUUAAAUAGGAUAGCGCCAGAGGGGUAAUUUGGUCUUUUCAUAUGAUACAAGUGAUAAUUCAAGGGUAUACAAGUGAUAAUAAAAGAAUUUAAAGGUAUACAAGUGAUACUUUUCAAGGGUAAAAUCAUCAAUUCGCUAUAAUUCCGUUAACUUUCAAACGACAGCUAACGGUUUAGUGGUCGGCAGAUAACUUUUUUCAAUUUAGGGUGGACGAUUGAUACACCCUCAAAGUGUUAUAGUAUUUUUUAUAAUAGAACAUCUAUAGGGUAUACGAAUGAUAAUAUCCCUAAUCAAUCCUUAAUUCAACUUAGGUUUAAGUAGUAUAUAAAAAAUCUUCUUUAUCACUCUUUUCAUUUUUAUUUAGAUUAAAAUUCAUAUAAAUAAAUAUAAAGAAUUAAUUUCAUAAUUUAUUUAAACUAAAAUUUUAUAUUAUAUUAAAUAUCCAAAUUUUAAUUCAAUAAUUUAUUUAUAUUAGAAUUUUAUGCAAUAUUAAAUCCCAAAACUUUAUUUAAUAAUUUAUUUACAAAAAUAUUAAUAUCAAAUUCAACAAUUAGUAAUAUAAUUUAAAAUAAUUACACUAUUUUAAUAGUUAUUUAGCUAUAUUAAAUUAAAUUUAACAUAUCCUUGUCCGAUACUAUACUAAACAAACGAUAGUACCUUAUAUAGUAUAGUCAAUCUAUUAUAAUAUAAUUCAAUCUAAUCGAACGUGCCAAAUCAGUACAUUUUAAAAAAUAAUUUUAUAACAGCUUUAAAAAAGCAUUUUUUAAGUUACUUUUACAAAAUGUGCUUUCUCCGAAAGCACUCGUGAAAUGCAAAUUCUCACAAAACACGUGGUGUGUUCAAUUGGGCCUCCGCCCAUUAAAACUACAACCAUGAAAGCAAGCAAUGUUCAUUGGGCUUUAUUCUCUCGAGAAAACUUAUACACGUAGCCCACCACCGGCGCCCUAAUUUGUCUCCACCUCUCUAAAUAGAGUUGGACUAUUGGCACCUUUCCAAAAUUCUUCUGAAAUUCCUUUUUCAAUAAUAUUAAGUUUAAUGCUAAAAAUAUCCUUAUUUCCAAAUAAAUACAUUUAAUUUGUGAAUAUUUUAAUUUUCUAUUAUUUUCUCGCUCCUCACAAACAAAUUUUUAUGGGCGAUAAACUUCUUGAUAAAAAUCAAUUAAUUAAAUAAAAUAUCUAUAAGAUUAUAAUGUAAAAAAUUUUAUUAUGAGUCUUAAAAAAAGACAGAUAAAUUUAUCAGAAUGUGUUUUGUUUAUUAUCAAUAGAUUAUUUUAGUAAUUAAAGAAAAAUUUAUAGAGAAUUUGAGAAAAAAAAUUACGUGUGAGUUUGAUAGCAAAGAAAAUAUAAGAGUUUUUUUUUAAGAGAGAAAAUACAAAAGUUUGAAGUGAGAUAAAAUAGAUAUAAGAUAUAUUAGAGUAUUUAUCCUUAAAUUUAAUUGUAACAAAAGAGAGGUUUUAAAAAGAUUUUGGAGGAGUGUCUCCAACUCCUCUAAAUAUUAUUGAUUGAUGCAUAUGUUUCACAGCAUAGAGUGGCUUACAUUGGAGCUUUUCUAAAAAAAUGAAAAUUUCAUUUAAUUAUUUAUUAUUCACGGAUAAGAAAUUAACUUCUUCUUUUUUCUAACGCCACAGUCUGGUGAGCUUGCCUAGUGUGUUUUAGUUGGAUAAAAAUUUUAGCAAAUGCUUCUUGGCAAGGAAGCUUAAAUAGUUUAACCUGAAUUUAACCUCGAAUGAACCCAAAUUAUUAAACCGAACCAAUCCGAAUUGUGAAUCUGAAUUUCAGUUCGAUUCAGUUUGGUUCAGGUUCGUAUUUUCAACUCGAACAAGUUUAAUGCUCCAAUUCGAUCAGGUUGUAACCUAAACCGAAACUCGAAAACCCGAACUGAAACUCAAUUUGGCCACCCCUAAUGAGAACUGAGAAGUACCUGGAUCGUAAAAGAAAGGUUUUGAUGAUAAUUUUGGCUAAAAAUCUGUUUCUUAACUUCUAUUUUUAUUUUUUUAUGCUGUAUUUUAGUUGCUGAAUAGGUUAUAUAUAGAAGUUCAGUUAAUUUUGUUUUGGAUGAAAAAUCAAUGAGUACUUCUGUGAUUAAUAAGUGAAAUUUUGUUUGCAUCAUAUAGUCAGCUAUAAUGCAUUGGAUGGCUUUGACUCAGCAUGGAAGAAAUGCUCUCCGGCAGAUUACUAAAGAGAGCUCUGAUCGCGUGUUGCAUCACCCAUUGCUAUUUUCUUGUCAAGGAGUCAGAUACAGACGAUUGGAAGUGAUUCUAACAACAAUGAGUAAAUUGAUCUUUUGUUUUCCCUUUUCACCAGUUUGGAUCUCUUGACUAAUCAGCCUGUUUGAGUUUUAACUUGUGUAUUAAUGAUUGGUUUUAUAUGUUCAGAAAGUUGACAAGCUUGGUAAAGCCGGUGAAACUGUGAAGGUUGCUCCGGGGUAUUUCCGGAACCACUUGAUGCCCAAAUUGCUUGUUGUUCCAAAUAUCGAGAAGUUGGCUCAUCUCAUUAGAGAGCAGCGCAGGUAUUUGUUUUUCAUGAUUCUUCUCGGUUGAACUUUUUUUGUUUGGGUUGAGAAUGGUUAAUUCUAGUGAUACAGAAAUUUGCUCAUUUUCUUUAGAUACUUUGUUUAGCCAGUUUGUCAAUUAAUUUGACUCAUGGCUUCAAAUUAUUGCUAAAUUCUCAGUUUGGAAAUAUUUGUGAUUUUUGAAGGGGCAUUACAAGUUAUUAAAGUUUGUUGUGCCUGUGACUUAUUUUCAUCAGAUUUGCCAGCCUGAGGAAGAGGAAGAGGAAGAGGAAGAGGAAGAGGUUAGAGUUAUCCGGAAGUCUGAGGACAAUAUGAGUAGAGAAUUUGAGAAGGCAGCUAGGCGCCUAGAGAAUGCUCGACUGGUUUGUGGCCUAUCUUUUAAUUUCUUCAGAUUCGGGACAAAUUGUCUUGGAGUGAACUGAUGUGUUGCCUUUUCCUUUUUUUUUAGCUUGAAUGAUCUAUUUGCUACAGUUAGGAGUGAACGUCGUAAUGAAUUUUAAAUUAUACUGUUUGUUUCGAUUUACUUUUCUAUCUUAGCUCCAUCAAGUGAUUAGUGGAAUGCUGGUCCUGUGAGUAUAAAAUGAAACUCCUUAAGUUAAAUUCCUUAGGCUGUGUUUAUUUUCUGUAGUGGGAGCGAGGAGUGUAAAUUCUUUUCAUUUCAGUAUUUAUUUCAACAAAUUGGCUCCGGAUUGAGAAUCCCACUCAGUAGACCCCACCCAUUUUUGGAGUGAGAUUCCCAUGGGGAGAGGUGGGAGUGAGAUUCCCACUCCCACCUCUCCCUUUUUUUACAUUUUUUUUAAUUUAAUUUAAUUUAACUUAAUUUAAUAUUUAAUAAAAUAAAAUAAAUAAUAUCAUAUUUAUUUGAAUAAUAUUAUUAUAUUUAUUUUAAAAAUAAUAAUACUAUAUUUAUUUAAUAUUAAUAAUUAAUAAUAAUAAAUAGUUUAUUCUAAGAAAAUAUUAAUUUUGUCCUAAAUAAUAUUAUAUUAUUAUUUUAUAUAAUAAUAAAUUUAAUAUAAUUAUAUUAAAUAAAAUAAAAUAAUGUUUCAUUUUAUAUUUACCCUUCUUUUUUACCCUCUUUUUAUUAAAUUUACUAUAAUUAUAUUUAAUAAAUAUUUAAAUAAUAUUAUAUUUAUUUAAAUAAUAUUAAUAUAUUUAACUAAAUAAUAAUUUGGUUUGAUUCUAAGUCUAAAUUACUUAAAAAUAAUAUUAUUAUAUUAAUACAGAAUUAAUAAUAUUACUUUUAUACCAUCUUUAUUUGAAAAUAUAUUAUUAUUAUUAUUAUAUUUAUUUAAAAAUAUUAGUAUUAUAUUUAUUUAAUAUUAAUAAUUAAUACUAAUAAAUAGUUUAUUCUAAGAAAAUAUUAAUUUCAUACUAUGUUAAUAGUAAAAUAUUUCAUUUAUAUUGCCCUUAUCAAUAAUUUUUAAUUUAUAUAAUUAAAAUUAAAAUUAAUAAAAAAAUGUGAUGUUCAUAAUUAAGAAUAUUAAUAAUUAUUAUAAAUUUACAAAUAUAAAUGUUUAUUCAUUAAAUAUAUUUUUUAUUAACUUUGUAAUUAAAAACUAUAAUUCUUUAAAUAAGGAUAAAAUUGUAAUUUGAAACUAUUUACUCCCAAUCCGAGACAAACUAAACACAUAAAUUGAAUUCUGAUCUCCAUUCCAUGCUUUCAUUUUAGUGUAAGUAAACAACAUACUCCCACUCCCAAUCCUAAGAUUCCCACUCCAAUUCAAAAAGUAAACGCUACCUAAAUACAAGUAAUCUUGCUUUCAGAUAUGAAUUAUCUGAUGGAUGUUGUAUUUUCAAGGUAUUGAGGAGAUUCCCCAAUAUUGAAAAAUUGCGUUCCCGUGCAUCAAAAGAUGAUCCCAUAGAAUUGCGUUCACCUGUGACAAAAGAGGAGCUUGUAGUUGAGGUAUGGAUUUUUAUAUUUCUUGGUUGUUUUUAUACUUGUUUCUCAUCAUAAUAGCAAAAGCAGUUUGUUCUGAGUGAUCUGUGUGGUCUCCUAUCAAUGACUGCCGUUUCUAUCAUUUAGUACUAUUGACUAUGUGUGUAUAAAUAUUUUGUUUUUACCAUGUAAUUUCAUAUUCGAUGCAUUUCUAAUACAUUGCAUAGCGUCCAUGAAUGGGAAUGAUAAAAUAAAUUUCAAGCGUGUUUCAAUAGAUGAAAAAACUUGGAACGAUUUAGAAGGAUUUGCUGAUUAAAUAAUUUUCCAAUUUGUUUGCUUGGAGGAAUUGAAUAGUUAACUGAUUAAAGGAUUUCAAGGUGGUUCGGUCCCGCUGGGCAUUGUCAAUAUCAACGGUCAUUAAUUCCUAUUAUCUGAAAUUGAAUUUCCAGUGUGGCAUGGUAACUUUCUGCUAGGGUGUGAUUGUAUAGUAGCCAAUUGUGAGCAACAGAUCCGCAUAGUAAUAUAGAUUGAAAUUUUGCAUCUUAAUCCAUGAAGAUAUAGAUUUUGGCAAUAUUAUACAAGCACUGGGGAUUACCUUAAAUAUUCUGGACUUGUCAUUGAUAGAGUUUCUUUUACCUAGUUAUUGAUAUUUCUUUCAAUUUUCUAUUUUACUCAUACAAUUUAUACAAUUUUAGGUGGCAAGACAACUUUCGUUUUCUAUUGAGCCUGAAAACCUGCAUCUACCAUCACCUCUAUCUGCUUUUCGAGAAUAUGAGGUUCCUAUGCGCUUACCCAAAGCCAUCCCCCUACCGGAAGGAAAGGUCCAAUGGAUUCUCAAUGUUAAAGUCCGCGGCAAAUAAAUAUUUUUUAGUUAAUUUUUUAAUCAAUAAAAAAAGGUAAUUAAAAAUGUAAUUAAUAAAUUACUUAUUAGCAAAUUAAAAAACAAAUAUUAGCAUAAAAUAAUUGAUAUUUCAUUCUCUUACAACAAUCUUACCAAUUAUUAUUUAUAAAUUAAUUAAUGCAAGUUAAUUUAAAGUAAUGUUUAAUAUUCUUGUAACAACCUUACUAAUAAUUUUUUGAUAAAAAAAUUAAUUUAUUAAAUUAAUCCUAGAAGUAAAAUAAUAAUAAUUAAUUUGUAUUUUAUUUUUAAGAUUAAUUUGAUAAAUUUAAUUUUUUUUAACUAAUAUCUCCAAGAAUAUAGUUGUAACGAUAUUAUUACAAAAGGAAAAAAAAUAUAAGAUUAUAAUAUAUUUACCAGUAAGAAUAAUUUAAAAUAUUUUUUAAGAUAUAAAAAUUAAACGGACACUUAAUUAAAAAAAAAAAAAAAAAACUAAAUAAGUAGUUAGCUUUUAACAUUUCAACCUAGUGGUCAUACAAUCAUGGUGCGGCCCGGGAUGGCUGGCCCAGCCCAUCAUGUAAAAAUCCAUGUCACCCUCAUUCUUAAGCUGCUACUCUGCCACUUGCCACGGAGCUCCCCACAUCAUACCGUACCGAUGCCUCUAGAAAGCUAACUUUAAAAAAAUGGUAUUAAUAAGCGUACGCCACGUCACUCCUCACUCUCUUCUUCGUCACUUUCCUCUCACUCAACAUUUUCUCCCCAAACAAAUUCCUUCUUUGAAAAAUCGCAUUUUCUCCUUCACAGCAACCGCUACAAUGUCUUCAACUUCCAAGAAGGUAAUUUUUUUAAAUUUUAUUUUUUGUUUAGUUUCUUUCUGUUGCCUUUUUGUUUCGUUUUUUGAAUUUUCUGUGUCGUUUUUUUUUUCCCAAGGUUUUGGUGCCUGUUGCGAACGGGAGUGAGCCGAUUGAAGCCGUGAUAACGAUCGAUGUUUUGAGAAGGUCUGGAGCUGACGUCACGGUUGCGUCUGUGGAUAAACAGCUUCGUGUCGACGCGUGUCAUGGUGUCAAGAUUGUCGCUGAUGCUCUCGUGUCUGACUGCCGCGACGCUGUUUCUGAUCUUAUAGCUCUGCCCGUAUGUAUUGCAGCUCACCUCAGCUCAUGCUAAUUUAUGUGAUGUUUGUAUAAUUAUAGAUGAUUACUGCUGAUACUGAAUGUUAAAGCUAAAUAAUUCGUUCUUAAGUCAUCUUCAUUUAAUUUUCGAUUGAAAAUGAAAAAAAAAAUAAUUUUAAGCAAAGAAAAUGUUUAUUUUGUUUUAUUUUUAUUUUUAAAUUUUUGGGAUUUCCUUAUUGUGACUGUUGUCAUUCAUUAUAUGGUCCUAGUUAAAUGUUUCAAGUUGUUGUAGUCUGUGAAACUCUUUUCGAUAUUUGUUCUGGCAUGUACAUUUUUCCUUUCAAUUUAUUUUGUUGCUGAUACUUUGAUUAUGAUAUAUCCUUUUUUGUUUCCCUUGUAGGGUGGCAUGCCCGGUGCUACCAAUCUGAAAGAAUCUGAAGUAUUAGAAACCAUUGUGAAGAAGCAGGCUUCAGCUGGGCGUCUUUAUGCUGCUGUCUGUGCUUCACCUGCUGUGGCAUUAGGGUCUUGGGGUCUGUUGAAGGGAUUGAAGGUAAGAAUUAGAUAAGCCUUUUUUUAUGUUUGGUGUUCUUUUGGGAAUUGCAUUGAUAUUUGUGUUAUACAUCAGUUUUGCUCUCACCGAUGAUUGUUAAGUUCUAAUUUAUGGGGUUAUUCAUUUUUUGUAGGCUACUUGUUACCCGUCAUUUAUGGAGCAAUUAGCUCCUGCUUGUGCAGCAACUGUUGAAUCAAGAGUACAGCAGGAUGGUAAAGUUGUUACGAGUCGUGGACCUGGCACUACUAUGGAGUUUGCCAUUGCACUUGUCGAGCAGUUGUAUGGGAAAGAGAGAGCUGAUGAAGUUUCUGGGCCACUGGUAGUAACUUUUAUAGAUAAUGUUGUUUAAAAAAAUUGUGAGUUAUAUAAUUUGUGGAAAUUCAUUCUAAUAGGUUCAUCUAGUAUGUCAAAUUGGAAGGUUCAGAUGCUAAUAUAUUCCAAAAAAUUUGUUCAGGGGAAAAGUAUGACUUUUUGCAUUAGAGAUUCAUUAGAUGAAGUUGUAUACCUGCUGGCCCAUCUUAAUGUGGUGAAAACGAUGUCUGAUGAGACUGAUAUAAUUAUUGGAAUCUUGAUAAAUGCAUUUGUUGAGCUUGAAUGUCUCCACUGAUCACGUUCUUUUUAAUGUAAGUUCUUUCUCUUGGUAUUUGUCUUUGAAUCUUCUCUUCCUCAUGCUUUCGUCUUCACUGUCACCUUGUGCCUAGGUAAUGCGUGCAAAUCAUGGAGAUGAAUACACUAUUGCUGAAUUCAAUCCAAUUCAGUGGACAUUUGACAAUUCUCCCCAAGUAAGAUUUGACUUCUAGUUUCUUGUAGUUGUUUUUCUUCAUCCGAUGUUUUCAGGGAUACCCAUUUGGCAGUAUAUAAAAGUCUGUGAUAUCUUCUAUACAUAUACAUCAUUGGCUUCAGUCAUUUUCGAACAUAUUGGAGGUAGUAGAUGUAUUUUUAUGAUAUCUCUAAUAAAAUCCCAAGUUUGAUCAAUUACAAAAGAAGUAUGAGCGGUGCUGGACCGGGGGGGAAGAAGAAGUGGGGGGUCGGUGUGGUGGGGGUGUGCAGUGCAUGAAUAAAAGGAAAUGAUAGGGGGUGAAAGUUUGUGCUACCGACAUGCUGUAAAAUGGGGACAUAAUAUUUCAAAUUAGAUAUUGUGUGAUCCUUAAUAUUGCUGACUUUUGCUUAAAAUGGAAUUCUUGAUAACUUCAAAUGUUAAAGUUCUUGGUGAAAUUUUGUACUUUCUUUUCUUUCAGAUUCUUGUGCCUAUUGCAAAUGGUUCAGAGGAGAUGGAAGCUGUUAUGAUAAUUGAUAUUCUGCGACGAGCUAAAGCAAAUGUUGUAGUUGCAUCAGUUGAGGAUAAACCAGAAAUUCUGGCUUCUCGUCAAAUUAAAUUAGUGGCAGAUGUGCUCAUUGAUGAGGCGGCUAAACUCUCGUAUGAUUUAAUUGUCUUGCCAGUGAGUUGGGGUGCUUACUGUUGCUUCAUAGUCUUUACCACAUAAUUGACUUACUAACUACAAUUUAUCCAUGCACAUUGCAUAGGGUGGACUUGGUGGCGCUCAAGCAUUUGCGAAGUCAGAGAAAUUGGUGAAUAUGCUAAAGAAGCAAAAGGAAUCAAAUAGACCUUACGGUGCUAUAUGUGCAUCCCCAGCUUUAGUGUUGGAGCCCCAUGGCUUACUCAAGGUACGACCAUUUCUGCUUAAAUUAUUUACUCAGAUUUGGAUCACCUAAUCUGAACUUGAUGAAGGAUUAUGAUGUUGUGUGAUUUUAUGAAUGUGGUCUUAUCUCAUGUAAGUCGGUGAUGAAUUAAUUGAAGUUUGCUGACAAAUUAGAAACUGAAAAACUGCUGCUGCUUCGUUAGUUACAUUACCCAAAGAGUUAAAAUAAACAUCCCAAAUUUUUUGUCCCAAAUUCUGUCCCAAAUGAUAUGGCAUUUAUUGAGUGAUUGUAUUAUCUAACCAACCAAUUGAUGAAUGACACAUCAUUUGAGAUGGUUUUUUGGGAUAAAGAAUUUGGGAUUUUUACCCGCAAAAAUCCCAAGUACUUCCUGCUCCUGCAAUAUCAUUGCUGUGUAUUUGUUUUCCCCUUAGACAUAUUCAAUUGUGGUUCAGGGUAAAAAAGCUACAGCUUUUCCUGUUAUGUGCAACAAGCUGUCAGAUCAGAGUGAAAUCGAAAACAGGGUUGUGGUUGAUGGCAACCUCAUCACCAGUAGAGGGCCAGGAACUUCUAUGGAGUUUGCACUGGCAAUUGUGGAGAAGUUUUUUGGCCGCAACAAGGCACUUGAGCUUGCAAAGAUAAUGCUUUUCACUCGCACCUAACAUUUGUACGGGGACCUGACUACUAUUAAACUAGUGUGUUUAUUUCUGUAUUGCUACUGCUUGUAGAGAGGGGAAAUGGAAACUUGAAUUCAUGUUUGAAUAUGGAUUCACUGUGUGGGUUUGUACAGCAGUUUGAUUUAUAAAUAAAUGAGUUCAAAGAGUUACUUCAAAUAUUCGGAAUAAACCUGAGUUUAGUUCUGUUAUCAAUGGUCGGAGUCCAAUUGCGAUCGACACACUGGGAAUUUUAAUUAUGAACUAAAAAAUUGUUAUGUUAUAUUCCACCUUUCUCAUAAAAUGUUAACUCGAUUUACAGGAUAAGAAGGAAAAGAAAGACGCUAAGAGAGGAGCAGAGACCCAAAAAGAGUUGACCACUUUGUUGGAACAUAAACCUCUAGAAUAUUGAAAUAAAACACAUACCAUAUCUAGUAUUAAGUAUGUAUAUGCAAGAAGAUACAAAUUUGAAGAUCAGAUUUCUCAUUUCAAUUUAUGUUCUGCUUAGAGCAAUGGCUCUUAUUCCACAAGCACAAACAGGAAAGAGUACGCACGAAGUUAAGAAACACACAUUGCAAAAGUUGCAUUAACUACUUGCAGCAGCAUCAUCCAAGAACUUGACUUUAAUCUUCUUGAGCUUCGCUGCGGCAUCUGUCAUAUGCAUUCUCUUGUCAGGUGACUCUAUACAACAAUCCAAAGCCAAAUCCAUGAUGCUUAAUAAACAAUCCAUUUUGGCAGAAAAAGCUUGCUCUUCUCGCACCAAAUUUGCGUCAACAACUUCAGUCAAUCCGUGAGGUAAAGACUCCUUUACCCAUCUCCUUAAACUCAUUUCUCCUGCGAACAUUUCAUCGGUGGGCCUCUUUCUCGUGAAGGUUUCCAUCAAUAAAACACCAUAGCUGUAGACAUCACAUUUAGCUGAAACAAUUCCUUCUGAUCCAUACUCUGCAUUUUUUAAUUUUAAUUAUGAAACAAAUGAUAAAACAAAUAAUUUUUUGAUAAUUAAGGUAACCCAAACUUUGCUCGUGCUUGAAAAAAGAGUAAAAAUUUUAAUUACAAUUGAAACUUUACCUGGUGCCAUAUAACCAAUUGUAGCCAUUGUCAUGGUUUGUGUCACAGAAUCUUCUCCUUCACCUAAGAGUUUGGAAAUGCCGAAGUCGCUCACAUGUGCCACCAUAUUUUCAUCCAAGAGAAUGUUGGUGGGCUUCAAAUCACAAUGAAUUAUAGGUGCCGACGAAUGACCAUGAUGGAGAUAUUCAAGGGCCGACCCCACAUCUAUCAUUAUGUUCAACCUCUCUAGGAUGUCUAAGAAAUAGUUGUGAGAAUAUAACCACUUCUCGAGACUACCAUUUGGCAUGAACUCAAGUACCAAUGCUUUAAAAUCUUGAUUAGAACAACUGCUAAGGAUCUUUAUGAGAUUUCGAUGACGAACAUUCAGUAAAACUUCACAUUCAGAAUCAAAACUCCUAAAUGCUCUCUCUAGUUGCAGAUUGAAAACCUUUAUCGCAACAUCAGUCCCGUCGGAAAUGGUUCCUUUAUAAACUGAUCCAAAGCUACCUGUACCAAGCAAGUUACAUUCAUUAAAUUCAUCAGUUGCUCGUUGAAUGUCUAGGUAGGAUGUUCUUCUCCAUGUUGCAAGAGGUAGGAAAUCUUCGUGAUCUGAUUUUUUUGUACUCCUCUUUCGGCAUCUUAUGUACAUAAUGAUGAUAAUCACUAUAAGUACAGAGGAUACUAUCGGAGGCAAAAUAUAUUUAAGGACAAUUAGAGCAACGUUUUUGGUGCUUUUGCUGUCACCUUGUUUGCAAGGUGGGACUCGGAAUUUAGGUGGACCACAGAGUGCAUAAUUUCCGAAAAAUGAUUCAGCUGACAAGUUUUUAAAAGACCCCUUAACAGGAAUUUCCCCUUCUAGCCUAUUAUGAGACACAUUAAAUUGUUUGAGAUGUGAAAGUGUCUCCAAUGACUUAGGAAUUUUUCCAGAGAGAUUGUUGCCAGAGAGAUCUAAGGAUUCUAAGCUUAUCAAACUACCAACUGAUUCAGGAAUAGGUCCUUGAAAUUGAUUACUAGCCAAUGAUAGAGUUUCUAUAUCUUUGAGGGCACCGAUGGUUGAUGGAAUAUCACCUGAUAAUUGAUUCCUUGAUAAAUCUAAAACUCUCAAGACCUUUAACUUUUGUACAUUGGAAGGGAGAGAAUCAUUUAACGAAUUUGACGACAAGUUUAUCUCUAAGAUGUACUCAAGGCUCCACAAGGAUGACGGUAUACUAGAAGUGAGCUUGUUGGAGCCUAAGUGGAGUUCUCUUAGAGAUGUCAGACUCGCCAAGCAUGGUGGUAUAUGUCCAGAGAGCUUAUUUCCAUUUAACAUUAUUCCGUACAUCAACUCCAAGUGGCAAAGAUCAUAGGGAAUGGAUCCUUCCAAAUUAUUUUCUUCAAGAGAUAAACCUUGUAGCCGCUUAAGUCUUCCCAUCGUUGGUGAAAUAGUUCCAUUCAAGUCAUUGAAGCCGAGGCUUAAGAGGAUCAGGCCACGCAACUUACCAAUUUCUUUAGGAAUGCUGCCCCCGAGUUUGCAGUUGGAUGCAUAAAAUUGUCGAAGAGAAGCAGAGAAAUUUCCAAUUACUGGUGGAAGGAUGCCACCCAAUGGAUUAUAAGCUAAGGCUAAAACUGUUAAAUUUCUGCAAUUAGUCAGAGAAGAGAGAAAACUCCACUGAUCUGCUGAAGAUGAUUCUGUCGUCAAGUUAUUAAAUGCUAAGCCAAGCACGCCGAGGUGUCUCAAGUUGCCAAAUGUAUUUGGAAUAUGGCCUGAGAAUGAGUUAAAGCUCAAUUCUAGGCCAAUGAGUUUAGAAGCGUUUGUGAUGGAGUUGGGAAUUUUUCCGGUAAGGUUAUUGGCCGCCAAGGUUAAAUACUCUAUGCUCGGAAGCGAGUGGCCAAUCGUUGAUGGUAAGUGGCCUGAAAGUUGAUUGCUAAUUAGAUUAAGGACUGUUAGGGUUGAAAUGUUGAAGAUUGUGGGUGGAAUGGGGCCACUUAAAUUAUUCGCACUAAGAACAAGGGUAUCCAAAUUUUGUAGAUUGCCAAUCUCAGUUGGAAUUUGACCUGUCAUAAAGAUAAACGCCAAAUUGAUGAGUUAUUGAGCUUUUUACUUAACAUAAAUUUUAAUUUCAUAACGCAUGAAAAUCAAAUUUGCCCACAAAAUGUGUGUUAUUAGUUUUAUAAUUUUUUUUUGGGUUUUUUUUGGGGGGGGGGGGGGGGAGAUUGAUAUUGCUACCUCAUAAUUUUUGUAAAACCCCACCCGCUUUCAGAGAAUUAUUGGAACAAGAUUCUUAAAAAAAUUCAAAUAAAGAAGAAGUUUGGAGAAAUAAUCAAUUAAAUCCAUCUUAAUAUACUUUUUGAAACUUAUAUUCUUUUAUCAUAUAUAAUAACUAAGGUUGCUUUAACAUAAAUUUAAUAUAACUAGUCUACUCUCAUAAGGUAGAAUUACUAAAAUACCCACAAAUUUACUUCAACUUCAACUAAACUAACAAAAUGUAUUUGUUGACAUGUGGGGAACUAAAAAUUAUUGAAUUUUAUUUUAGAAAUAUUGUAUUACAAAACAUAAAACAAAAUGCCGAAACUAUAUAUUAGAUACAAUAGUACAUGUUUUUCGGGGUAAUUUGGUCAUUUUAUAUUAUAAGAGUAAAAUAGUCAAAUUAAACUUAUUUUAAAGCAACCGUAAACGGUCAAAGAUUGUUAAAAGCCCUAAGUCAUAAAAGAAAAACAUUAUAAAAAUAAUUUAUUAAUUGUUCAGACUUAAUUUAUAAUUUUAUAACAUAAUGUGAACUUAUUAUAACUAUCUUUUCAAAAUGAGGUGGGUUUGCAAGAAUAAUGAGUGGAAAUAUCCCCACCCUAUAAAAUAAAAAGAAUUUUGCAGCUAUGCAAAUGCAAAUAUGUAGAACGUACCUUGUAGGUUGUUAUAACCUAGAUUCAGAAUGAAAAGGCUGCUAAAAUUUCCUAUCCCUGAAGGAAUAUUUCCAUCAAUAACGUUGUAGAUUGCGUCGAACACCUCCAGCUUCGAUAAAUUGAGGAGAGAAUUUGGGAUUGGACCCGUGAAACUGUUAUUAUAAAGCCUCAACGUUUGUAAUUUGGAUAAGACACCAAUCCAUGUUGGAAUGCUUCCACUCAAUUUAUUGAAACCGAAUCUAAUGAAUCUGAGUCGGCGUAAUUGCCCCAAUUCAUUAGGCAGAUGGCCAUGAAAAUUAUUAUGAGCAACAUCAAGAGAUACUAAGAACGUGAGAUUUCCCAAGUGUAGUGGAAUGGUGCCUCCGAGACCCAUAUCUGAAAGAUUCAAGGCAGUGACUCUUUGAUGGCGUGAACCACAAGAGAUACCAACCCAGCUACAUAUUGGAUAAGAUAUAGACCAAUUAUUUGUCAGAUCACUUCGAUAAUCAACGACACGGGCUUUGAAUGCAAGAAGAGCCGAUUGAUCUGUUGUUAAGUUGCUCAAAGUCGUCAUAGCUAAGCUAGCUAUGGAAUAUUGUACCAACAACAUAGGAACAAAGAAGAAUGAUAAGCACAUAUUGGUCGUUUUUUUUUAUAGAUGCAGCAAUCUAAUUGCUAGGUGAAGUUGAUACAAGUUUUAAGUGAAGGAAACUAGCAUAUACUUAUACAAGAGACGUAUGAAUUUGAAAACAAGAAAAGAAAAAAAUGUACAGGAGAGUGGAGACAUGCAAAUUGGUAUAUUUCAUCAUUGAGCGAGUCGUCCAAGUAAACUCAUACAGACCUGUAAAUUGUUAUAGGCCGCGGUACUUGAACCGUGAAUAAAGGGCUUAUGGCACUUGACUUACCAAAAAGAAGAAGAUGCUCAACAUUGGCAAGGCCUAUGCAUUCUGUCCAUUUGUUCACGUUUUGCCAAGGCUCAGGGCAACCACAAUAUGUUCUUUUUCUUCCCUCUUAAAACAAAAAACAAAAAAAAAAGACGACAUUUACAUUUGGGCUAAUAAUUAUAACUAAACAAUUAAUAAUACUGAGGGUCAGUGGUAAUGUAGCUUUAAAAUAAUUGUUAUUAGUUGUGUCUUAAAAAUAAAGAAAAAAAAUAACUAUACCCAUAUAAUUAAUAAAAUAAUCAUGUAAAUUCCUAAGCUUUUAACAAUAUACACCAAGACCCCCUACCGUUACUUUUUACCAUUUAUUUGGAUGUCACAUGCUUUUUUUUUUUAAUUUUCACAGUGGAUAUCAAAUGCUAAAUUUACUGUUAUUCCCAUAUCAUGUCAUCACUUGCUUCUACACACAUUGAUUGUUUUUCCAAAGUUUCAAAUUGAAUUAAAAACAUUCUAAUUAACCUAAAAAAAACUCAUCCAACCAGAUAUAAAUCAUCUAAUUAACCUAAAGAUAGCUACACCCCCAUAUUAAUUCCAAUUAAAUAAAAUUCAUUUUUGUCAUGAUUUUGGAUCUCGAGCAGGGUGGAUAUAUCCAACUAGAUCCGCCCCAUUGGCAUUCCAGUAUAUUCUGUAAUUGGAAGAGUAUGAAUGACUUAAUUUGUAAUUUUAAAUUUGUAACGUUCAAUUCUAAUUUGAGGAUUCAAAUGAAUUUAUGCGAAUCUAAAAGGGGACUGAAGAUUGGCAUGCAUACAUGCAUACAUAUACAUAUAUAUAUAAAUAGAGAGAGAGAGAGAGAGAGAGAGAGAGAGAGGUAAUAUAACAUUCUUCUUGAUGAAGAUUUUUGUGCCAUACGAAUUAAAGAGAGUAUUGUGUCGAUGUUCGAGGCUAGAGCGACAAUUGGUUACAUUGCUUCAGAGGUGUUUAGUAGAAACUUUGGUGAGGCAUCACAUAAUUUAAAUUACUAGAUUUAGCGAGAUAUAUAUAUUUUCCACAUUGGAUUUACAAGCAUUUCGAGCAGUAUAAUGAAUUAAAAUUACUCGGAAUUGUAAACAGCGAGGAAAGUGAAAUUGCUAAGAAGAUGAAUAUUUUGUUGUUUUGUGGUGUACACGGACUCGUCCAUCGGAUAGGUCGCCCAUGAACAGAGGGAUAGAAAUGUUAUUGCCAAGAAGCAGACUGACUAGCAGUGACGCUUUGAAAAGUCCACCGGACAUCGUCUCCUCCAAGACCACCAAUAGAUUCUUCCACCAUUUCAACGUCGUGACGUGGGGAUCGGAAUUGAAUUAUAGGAUGCUUGUAAGUUUCCUUUGUGGAACUUGUGAAUUUGUGAUGGCAAAAGUCAAUGAUGCAUGUAACUAGCUAGCCCGUGUAGACUCCGUUUUACACUUUUUCAAAACCCAAAAGCACGCUAAAUCUUAAUCUUAAAAGAAUUUUUGAUUCAGUGCUGAAUUUUGGGCUUAUCUUUAAGUAAUCUUUUACCACGCAUGCAUUUUUGUCAUUGUGCAGUCAUCGAUUGCUUCUAAAGAUCGUAAUCCUUAAGAAAAAAUUACUUCUCUUGAAAGUGAAAGCAGGGCAGCUAUUGGCGUAUUGCAUUGCAGCUGCUAUGUGUAGUAGUCAAUUCUUGGAAACAACUAGUUUUCUUAAAUUGUAAACGGUCCCCUUUAUGACUGGGAGAUUUUGAACAAAAUUAAUAUGACGAAUUCUUUGCAGGUGUUGUUCCUUGAAGUCUCAUCUUUCACAAUGUUUCUGAAAUAAAGAUAUUACCAUCUCUGAUUUAAUAUUUAUUCUUGAUUUGUACCACCUAAUCUGAACUUGAUGAAAGAAUAAAGAUUAUGAUCUUGCCUGAUUUUAUUAAUGUGGUCUUAUCUCACGUAAGUCAGUAAUGAAUUAAGGAAAAUUAUCAUUCGUAUACCCUAUAAUUGCUCUGUUAUAAAAAAUACUACAACACUUUGAGGGUGUAUCAAUUGUCCACCCUAAGUUAACAAAAUGUAUCUGUCAUCCACCAAACCGUUAUUUGCCGUUUAAAUAGAAUGACACCAGAGGGGUAAUUUUAUCUUUUCAUAUGAUACAAGUGAUAAUUUAAGGGUAUACAAGUGAUAAUAAAAGAAUUUAAAGGUAUACAAGUGAUAAUUUUAUUUACUUUAAUUUAAGUUUCAAGGGUAAAAUCGUCAAUUCACUAUAAUUCCGUUAACUUUCAAACGGUAGCUAACGGUUUGGUGGUCGGCAGAUAGCUUUUGUUAAUUUAAGGUGGACGAUUGAUAUACUCUCAAAGUGUUGUAGUAUUUUUGAUAAUAGAGCAACUAUAGGAUAUAUGAUUGAUAAUUUCCCAUGAAUUAAUUAAAGUUUACUGUCAAAUUACAAACACAAAAACUGCUGCUGCUUCAUUAUUCACAAUACCUAAAGUCAGUGCAGAACUUAAUAAGUUUUCCAAAAGUUUUACGCUUUCUUUCCCCCAAAUCCCAAGUACUUACUAGAUAUGUCAUGUUUAUACCCAAAGUCAGUGCAGAACUUACUCGAUAUGUCAUGUUUACACAAGAGUUUGUUUAUAAAUAAAUGAGUUGACAAAUAUUUGCCAAAAAAAACGGUGAGUGAUGUCUAGUUCUAUUUUCACAGUUCAGAGUCCAAUUUUGAUUACUGGAAAUUUUAAUUAUGAAGUUGAACUAAGAAUUUGUUAUAAUAUCUUCAACCUUCCUAUACAGUCAUCUGGAAUAAUAAUAUAUCAAAAACAGUAAUAACUCGAUUUACAGGGUGAGAAAGAAAAGAAAGACGCUACGAGGGAAGCAGAGAUUCAAAGACUUCGCCACUUUGUUGGAGGAACAAUUUCAUAAAUCUCCAGAAUAUUGACAUAAAACACAUAACAUACAUAUCUAGCAUUAAGUAUAUUUAUGUAUGUCCAAAGAUAAAAAUUUGAAGAUUAAAUUUAUCAUUUCAAUUUAUGUUCUGCCCAAAGCAAUGGCUUUUAUUCCACAAGCACAAACAAGAAAGAGUACGCACAAAGUUAACAAACACACAUAGCAAACGUGACAUCAACCACUUGCAGCAGCAUCAUCCAGAAACUUCACUCUAAUCUUCUUGAGCUUUUCAGCGGCGUCUUUCGUAGAUGCCCCCUGUUCUGGUGAUUCCAUGCAACAAUCCAAUGCCGAAUGCAUGAUGCUUAAUAAACAAUUCAUUUUAGGAGAAAAAACUUGCUCUUCUCUCACCAAGUUUGCAUCGACAACAUCACUCAAGGCACGAGGUAAUGACUCCCUUACCCAGUCUCUUAAACUUAUUUCUCCUGUAAACAUUUCAUUUGUGGGAUUCUUUCUGGUGAAAGUUUCCAUCAAUAAAACACCAUAACAAUAGACAUCACCUUUGGCCGAAAUCAUUCCUUCUAAUCCUUACUCUGCAUUUUUUUGGUUUCGAUAGAUCAAAUGGAUGUGACAUCAUAAAACAAAUGAUAAACAAAUAGUCUUUUGACAGUCAAGAUGGCCCAAACUUUGACUGUGCUUCGAAAAGAGCGAAAAUUUGAAAUUAUAAUUGAAACCUUACCUGGUGCCAUAUAACCAGUUGUAGCCACUGUCAUGAUUUGGGUCACAGAAUUUUCUUCAUCACCUAAGAGUUCGGAAAUGCCGAACUCACAUGUGCCACCAUAUUUUCAUCCAAGAGAAUGUUGCUAGGCUUCAAAUCACAAUGAAUUACAGGUGCUGAUGAAUGAUCGUGAUGGAGAUAUUCAAGUGCCAGCCGCACAUCUAUCAUUAUAUUCAACCUCUCUAGGAUAUCUAGGAAAUAGUUGUGUGAACACAACCAUUUCUCAAGACUACCAUUGAGCAUGAACUCAAGCACCAGUACUUUAGAAUCUGGAUUGCAACAGCUGCUAGUGAUCUUUGUGAGAUCUUGAUGACGAACAUUCCACAAUACUUCACAUUCAGAAUCAAAACUCCUAAAGGCUCUCUCUAGCUGCAGAUUGAAAACCUUUAUUACAAUAAUAGUCACAUCAUAAAGUGUGCCUUUAUAAACAGAUCCGAAGCUCUCCAUACCUAGCAGGAUACAUUCACUAAAUCCAUCAGCUGCUCGUUGAAUAUCAUGAUAGGAUAGUCUUCUCCAUGUUGUCGAAGAGAACAAAUCUUCUUUAUCUGGAGUUCUUGUUUUCCUAUUUUGAAAUAUUAUGAAGAAUCAUAACAAUUGUUAUUAGUGCAUUGGAUAUAAUCGAAGGCAAAGUAUAUUUCAGGACAAGCAGAGUAGCAUUCUUGGAUCCUUUGCUAUUAUCUUCUUUGCAAGGUGGGACUUGAAGGCCUGGUGGACCACAUAGUGCAUAAUUCUCAAAAAACGAUUGAGCUGAAAUGUUUUUAAAAGGUCCUUUGAUAGGAAUUCCCCCUUCUAGCCUAUUGUGAGACACAUUAAGUUGUUUGAGAUAUGAGAGUGCCUCCAUUGACUUUGGAAUUUCUCCAGAGAGAUUGUUGCUAGGGAGAUCCAAAGAUUCCAACCUUAUCAAACUACCAAAUGAUUUAGGGACCAGACCAUAAAAUUGGUUUCUAGCCAAGGACAAAGUUGCUAGAUCUUUGAGGCCACCAAUACUUACUGGUAUAUCACCUGAUAAUUGAUUUCUUGAUAAAUCAACUCUAUUAAGACCUUUAAGUUUUGUACAUCUGAAGAUAGAUGACCACUUAGAGAAUUUGUUGACAAGUUUACAUACAAGAUGUACUCAAGAUUCCACAAGGAUGAUGGGAUACUAGAAGUGAGCGUGUUGCAGCUUACAAAGAGUGUUUUUAAGGAAUUGAAUAUCUGAAAUCUUGUAUGUAAAUAUUAACACUUAGAGAAUUUGUUGACAAGUUUUUAAGGAUUUACUGAUUAAAUAAUUUUCCAAUUUGUUUGCCUGGAGGAAUUGAAUAGUUAACUGAUUAAAGGAUUUCAAGGUGGUUAGGUCCAGCCGAGCAUUGUAAAUAUUAACGGUCAUUAUGAAUGUGUAAUUCCUAUAUGUGAAAUUGAAUUUCCAUGGUAAAUUUCUGCUAGGGUGUGAUUGUAUGGUAGCCAAUUGUGAGCAACAGAUCCACAUAGUAAUAUAGACUGAAAUUUUGCGUCUUAAGCCAUGAAGAUAUAGAUUUUGGCAAAUAUUAUACAAGCAUUGUUUGCAACACCACAGCUAAUUUGCAGUAGGAUGAAACACUCAGAAUUUUGCCUUUUUCAUGUAUAAAAUUUUAUUUUUUUAAUUGUGAUAUUACAGUUUUGCCCAUCAAGCAUUAUGAAGCUUAAUAUUUGGAUAAAUGUUAGGUUUAAUCUAUAAAUUUUAACUUCAGUGUUUAUUUAGUUUUUAUAUUUUGUAAAAUAUCUCAAGGCAGCCCUAUUAUCAAAUAUUGGCUUGAUCCGUAUAUAUUAACUUCAGUGCUUUAUUUAGGUUUUAUAUUUUGAAAAAUACUUUAAGGCAGUUCUAUUAUCAAAUAUGUUAUGCUCUUGCUUUUAUUUUUUCUUUGUUUUUAUAAUAAUACUCUGAUAACAAUAUUUUUUUACAUUAAUUUUUUAAUCAAUAAAAAGGUAACUAGCAAAUUAACUGAUAAAUUAAUUUGUUAAUUUUUUUAAUCAAUAAAAAAUUUAAUUAAUAAAUUACUUGGUAGCAAAUUAAAAAAUAAAUAUUAGCAUAAAACAAUUGAUAUUUUUCAUUCUCUUACAACAAUCUUACUAAUAAUUUUUUUAUAAAAAAUUAAUUUAUUAAAUUAAUCCUUAAAAGUAAAAUAAUAAUAAUUAAUUUGUAUCUUAGUUUUAAAGUUAAUUUGAUAAAUUCAAUUUUUUAAUUAAUAUCUCCAAAAAUAUAGUUGCAACGAUAUUAUUGCAAAAGUAAAAAAAAAAAUAUAUAUAGAAUUUUAAUAUAACUGCCAGUAAAAAUAACUUGAAAUAUUUUUUAAGAUAUAAAAAUUAAACCAACACUUAAUUAAAAAUAUAAAGAAUUAAAUAAACAUUUAUCUUCUAACAUUUCAACCUACUGGCUAAUGGUCAUACAAUCGUGGUGUGGUCCGGGAUGCCCGGCCCAGCCCAUCAUGCAAAAAGCCAUGUCACCCAUAUUCUUAGGCUGCUACUGCAUUAAAAAAAUGAUAUUAAUAAGCGUACGCCACGUCACUCCUCACUCUCUUCUUCGUCACUUUCCUCUCACUCAACAUUUUCUCCCCAAACAAAUUCCUUCUUUGAAAAAUCGCAUUUUCUCCUUCACAGCAACAGCUACAAUGUCUUCAACUUCCAAAAAGGUGAUUUUUUUUUAAUUUUAUUUUUUGUUUAGUUUCUUUCUGUUGCCUUUUUGUUUCGUUUUUUGAAUUUUCUGUGUCGUUUUUUUCCCCCAAGGUUUUGGUGCCUGUUGCGAACGGGAGUGAGCCGAUUGAGUCCGUGAUAACGAUCGAUGUUUUGAGAAGGUCUGGAGCUGACGUCACGGUUGCGUCUGUGGAGAAACAGCUCCGUGUCGACGCGUGUCAUGGUGUCAAGAUUGUCGCUGAUGCUCUCGUGUCUGACUGCCGCGACGCCGUUUUUGAUCUUAUAGCUCUUCCCGUAUGUAUUGCAGCUCUCCUCAGCUCGUGCUAAUUUAUGUGAUGUUUGUAUAAUUAUAGAUGAUUACUGCUGAUACUGAAUGUUAAGCUAAAUAAUUCGUUCUUAAGUCAUCUUCAUUUAAUUUUCGAUUGAAAAUGAAAAAAAUAAUAAUUUUAAGCAAAGAAAAAUAUAGAAAAUGUUUAUUUUGUUUAAUUUUCAAUUUUUAAUUUUCAGGGAUUUCAUUAUUGUGACUGUUAUCAUUCAUUAUAUGGUCAUAGUUAAAUGUUUCAAAUUGUUGUAGUCAGUGAAAUUCUUUUCGAUAUUUAUUCUGGCAUGUAUAUUUUUCCUUUUCAAUUUCUUUUGUUGCUGAUUCUUUGAUUAUGUUAUAUCCUUUUUUGUUUCCCUUGUAGGGUGGCAUGCCCGGUGCUACCAAUCUGAAGGAAUCUGAAGUAUUAGAAAGCAUUGUGAAGAAGCAGGCCUCAGCUGGGCGUCUUUAUGCUGCUGUCUGUGCUUCACCUGCUGUGGCAUUAGGGUCUUGGGGUCUGUUGAAGGGAUUGAAGGUAAGAGUUAGAUAAGCCUUUUUGAUGUUUUGUGGUCUUUUGGGAAUUGCACUGAUAUUUUUGUUAUGGUUCAGUUUUCUUCUCGCUGAUGAUUGUUAAGUUCUAAUUUAUGUAGUUGUUCAUUUUUCCUAGGCUACUUGUUAUCCGUCAUUUAUGGAGCAACUAGCUCCUGCUUGUGCAGCAUGUUGAAUCAAGAGUACAGCAGGAUGGUAAAGUUGUUACGAGUCGUGGACCGGGCACUACCAUGGAGUUUGCCGUUGCACUUGUUGAGCAGUUGUAUGGGAAAGAGAAAGCUGAUGAAGUUUCUGGGCCACUGGUAUUAGCUUUUAUAGAUAACGUUGUUUAAAAAAAUUAUGAGUUAUAUAAUUUGUGGAAGCUUCAGAUGCUAAUGUAUUCAAGAAAAUAAGUUCAGGGGAAGAGUAUGACUUUUUGCAUUAGUGAUUCAUUAGAUGAAAUUGUAUACCUGCUGGUCCAUCAUAAGGUGGUGAAAACAAUGUUUGAUUUAAUUAAUGAAAUCCUGAAAUAUGCAUUUGUUGAGCUUCAAUGUCUCCACUGAUAAAAUUCUUUUUAAUGUAAGUUCUUUCUCUUGGUAUUGUAUUUGAAUUUUCUGUUCCUCAUGCUUUCGUCUUUACUGUCACCUUGUGCCUAGGUAAUGCGUGCAAAUCAUGGAGAUGAAUACACUAUUGCUGAGUUCAAUCCAAUUCAGUGGACAUUUGACAAUUCUCCUCAGGUGAGAUUGGACUGUUAGUUUCUUGUAUUUGUUUUUCUUCUUCCAUGUUUUGAGGGAUACCCAUUUGGCAGUAAAUAAAAAUCUGUGAUAUCUUCUAUACAUGUACAUAUACAUCAUUGACUUCACUCAUUUGUGAACAUAUUGGAGGUAGUAGAUUUAUUGUUAUGAUAUGUCUAAUAAAAUCCAAAGUUCGAUGCAACUACAAAAGAAGUAUGAGCAGUGCUCGACCAGAGAGGAAAAAGGUGGUUUUUUUCUUUUUUUUUUUUGGGGGGGGGGGGGGGGUUGGUUGGGUGGCAAAGGGAAUGAUAAGUUCAGGGUAUCAACAAGCUGUAAAAUGGCUAUCGAAAAACUGAUAUUUCACAUUAGAGAAUGUGAGGACCUGAAGAUUGCUGACUUGUGGUCAAAAUGGAAUUCUUGAUAACUUUAAAUGUUAAAAAUUCUUGGUGAAAAUUUUGUACUUUUUUUUCUUUCAGAUUCUUGUGCCUAUUGCGAAUGGUUCAGAGGAGAUGGAAGCUGUUAUAAUAAUUGAUAUUCUGCGACGAGCUAAAGCAAAUGUUGUGGUUGCGUCAGUUGAGGAUAAACUAGAAAUUCUGGCUUCUCGUCAAGUUAAAUUAGUGGCAGAUAUGCUUAUUGAUGAGGCAGCUAAACUUUCGUAUGAUUUGAUUGUCUUGCCAGUAAGUGGGGUUGCUAACUCUUGCCUCAUAGUCUUUACCAAAUUAUUGACUUACUAGCUACAAUUUAUCUAUGCACAGGGUGGACUUGGUGGUGCUCAAGCAUUUGCGAAGUCAGAAAAAUUGGUAAAUAUGCUAAAGAAGCAAAAGGAAUCAAAUAGACCUUACGGUGCUAUAUGUGCAUCCCCAGCACUAGUGUUGGAGCCCCAUGGCUUACUCAAGGUAUGACCAUUUCUGCUUAAAUAUUUAUUCUUGAUUUGAAUCACCUAAUCUGAACUUGAUAAAACAUUGUGAUCUUGUGUGAUUUUAUGAACGUGGUCUUAUCUCAUGUAAGUCUGUAAUGAAUUUAUUGAAGUUUGCUGACAAAUUACAAACUCAAAAACUGCUGCUGCUUCAUUAGUUACAGUACCCAAGGAGUUAUGAUAGACAUCCCAAACUUUUUACCCCAAAUUCCCUCUCAAAUGACAUGGUAGUUAUUAAGUGGUUGGUAAUUUUUUAUAAGAUAUAAGUGAAUUAAUUAAUUAUAUUAUUUAAUCAACCAAUUGAUGAAUGUCACGCCAUUUGAGAUGAAUUUUUGGGAUGUGUAGCAAAACUUUAUGCUGAUUUGUUUUGGCUACAUUCAUGUAAAACAUUUUUCCCCAAAUCCCAAGAACUUCCCGCAAUAUCAUUCCUUUGUAUUUGUUUUCCCCUUUAGACAUGUUUAACUUUGGUUCAGGGUAAAAAGGCUACGGCUUUUCCUGCCAUGUGCAACAAGCUAUCAGAUCAAAGUGAAAUCGAAAACAGGGUUGUGGUUGAUGGCAACCUUAUCACCAGCAGAGGGCCAGGAACUUCCAUGGAGUUUGCACUGGCAAUUGUGGAGAAGUUUUUUGGCCGCAACAAAGCACUUGAGCUUGCAAAGAUAUUGCUUUUCACCCGCACCUAAAAUUUGUACCAGGACCCGACUAAUAUUAAACUAGAGUGUUUAUUUCUGUAUUACUACUGCUUGUAGAGAGGCGAAAUGGAAACUUGAAUUCAUGUUUGAAUAGGGAUUCACUGUGCGGGUUUGUACAAGAGCUUGUUUAUAAAUAAAUGAGUUCAUAAAGAGUCAUUUUAAAUAUUUGGAAUAAACGUGAGUUGCUGUUUAGUUCUGUUUUCAAUGUUCACCGUUCAAUUGUGAUCCAGAGCAAUAUAACUACACUCACUGGGAAUUUUAAUUAUGAACCAAGAACGAAGUUGAACCGAGAAUUUGAUACUUUAUAUAUUCCAGUUACCAUAUUUAAGAAAGAGUAUUGAAAAGAAAGACGCUAAGAGAGAAUAUUGAAGUUAAACAGAUACCAUAUCUAGUAUUAAGUCUGUAUGCCAAAGUUACAAAUUCGAAGAUCAGAUUCCUCAUUUCAAUUUAUGUUCUGCUCAAAACAAUGGCUCUUAUUCCACAAGCACAAACAAGAAAGAGUACGAACAAAGUUAACAGAGACACGCAGUGAAAAUUACGCUAAUUGGUUGCAGCAGCAUCAUCCAGGAACUUCACUUUAAUCCUCUUGAGCUUUGCUGCAGCGUCUGUCAUAUUUAUCCUCAUGUCGGGUGACUCCAUACAACAAUCCAAUGCCAAAUCCAUUAUGCUUAAUAUACAAUCCAUUUUGGCAGAAAAAGCUUGCUCUUCUCGCACCAAAUUUGCGUCAACAACUUCACUCAAUCCGUGAGGUAAUGACUCCUUUACCCAUGUCCUUAAACUCGUUUCUCCUGUGAACAUUUCAUCGGUGGGCCUCUUUCUCGUGAAAGUUUCCAUUAAUAAAACACCAUAGCUGUAGACAUCACAUUUAGCUGAAACAAUUCCUUCUGAUCCAUACUCUGCAUUUUUUUUAAUUUCAAUUAUGAAACAAAUGAUAAAACAAAUAAGUUUUUGAUAAUUAAGGUAACCCAAACUUUGCUCGUACUUGAAAAAAGAGUAAAAAUUUUAAUUACAAUUGAAACUUUACCUGGUGCCAUAUAACCAAUUGUAGCCAUUGUCAUGGUUUGUGUCACAGAAUCUUCUUCUUCACCUAAGAGUUUGGAAAUGCCGAAGUCGCUCACAUGUGCCACCAUAUUUUCAUCCAAGAGAAUGUUGGGAGGCUUCAAAUCACAAUGAAUUAUAGGUGCCGACGAAUGACCAUGAUGGAGAUAUUCAAGAGCCGACCCCACAUCUAUCAUUAUAUUCAACCUCUCUAGAAUGUCUAAGAAAUAGUUGUGAGAAUACAACCACUUCUCGAGACUACCAUUUGGCAUGAACUCAAGUACCAAUGCUUUAAAAUCUGGAUUAGAACAACUGCUAAGGAUCUUUAUGAGAUUUCGAUGACGAACAUUCUGUAAAACUUCACAUUCAGAAUCAAAACUCCUAAAUGCUCUCUCUAGUUGCAGAUUGAAAACCUUUAUCGCAACAUCAGUCCCGUCGGAAAUGGUUCCUUUAUAAACUGAUCCAAAGCUACCUGUACCAAGCAAGUUACAUUCAUUAAAUUCAUCAGUUGCUCGUUGAAUGUCUAGGUACGAUGUUCUUCUCCAUGUUGCAAGAGAUAGGAAAUCUUCGUGAUCUGAUUUUCUUGUACUUCUAUUUCGGCAUCUUCUGUACAUAAUGAUGGUAAUCACUAUAAGGACCGUGGAUACUAUCGGAGGCAAAAUAUAUUUAAGGACAAUUAGAGCAACUUUCUUGGUUCUUUUGCUGUUAUCUUGCUUGCAAGGUGGGACUCGAAGUUUAGGUGGACCACAGAGUGCAUAAUUUCCAAAAAAUGAUUCAGCUGACUAGUUUUUAAAAGACCCCUUAACAGGAAUUUCCCCUUCUAGCAUAUUUUGAGACACAUUAAAUUGUUUGAGAUGUGAAAGUGCCUCCAAUGACUUAGGAAUUUUUCCAGAGAAAUUGUUGCCGGAGAGAUCUAAGGAUUCUAAGCUUAUCAAACUGCCAACUGAUUCAGGGAUAGGUCCUUGAAAUUGAUUACUAGCCAAGGAUAGAGUUUCUAGAUCUACGAGGGCACCAAUGGUUGAUGGAAUAUUACCUGAUAAUUGAUUCCUUGAUAAAUCUAAAACUCUCAAGACCUUUAACUUUUGUACAUUGGAAGGGAGAGAAUCAUUUAAUGAAUUUGACGACAAGUUUAUCUCUAAGAUGUACUCAAGGCUCCACAAGGAUGACGGUAUACUAGAAGUGAGCUUGUUGGAGCCUAAGCGGAGUUCUCUUAGAGAUGUCAAACUCGCCAAGCAUGGCGGUAUAUGUCCAGAGAGCUUAUUUCCAUUUAACCUUAUUCCGUACAUCAACUCCAAGUGGCAAAGAUCAUAGGGAAUGGAUCCUUCCAAAUUAUUGUCUUCAAGAGAUAAACCUUGUAGCUGCUGUAAUGUUCCUACAGAUGUUGGAAUAGUUCCGUUCAAGUCAUUGAAGUCGAGGGUUAAGAGGAUCAAGCCACGUAAAUUACCAAUUUCUUUAGGAAUGCUGCCCCCGAGUUUGCACUCGUAAGCAUAAAAGCUUUGAAGAGAAGCAGAGAAAUUUCCAAUUAAUGGUGGAAGGAUGCCACCUAAUGGAUUAGAAUCUAAGACUAAAUAGGAUAGCUUUCUACAAUUAGUCAAAGAAGAGAGAAAACUCCACUGAUCUGCUGAAGAUGAUUCUGUCGUCAAGUUAUUCGUUCGUAUGCUGAGCACGUUGAGGUGCCUCAAGUUGCCAAAUGUAUUUGGUAUAUGGCCUGAGAAUGAGUUAGAGCCCAAGUCUAGACCAAUGAGUUUGGAAGCAUUGGUAAGAGAGUCAGGAAUUGUCCCGAUAAGAUUAUUGAUCGCCAAGGUUAAAUACUCUAUGUUCGGAAGCGAGUGGCCUAUCGUUGAUGGUAGGCGGCCUGAGAAUUGGUUGCUGUGUAGAUUAAGGACUCUUAUGGUUGAAAUAUUGAAGAUCGCGGGUGGAAUGAGGCCACUUAAAUUAUUCGUACCAAGAGCAAGACUCUCCAAAUUUUGUAGAUUGCCAAUCUCGGUUGGAAUUUGAUCUGUCAUAUCGAUUAAACCAACAUUGAUGAGUUAUUGAAUUUUUUGCUAAACAUAAAUUUAAUUUCAAAAUUCAUGAAAAUCAAAAUUUCCCACAAAAUAUGUGUUAUUAGUUUUAUAAUAAUUUAGGGGGUAAUGAUAUUUCUACCCCAUGAUUUUUGUAAAACACACAUGCUUUUAGAAAAUUAUUACCGCAAGAUCACAUUAUUCUUAAAAAUUCAAAUUAAGAAGAAGUUUCUAGAAUUAAUCAAUUAAAUCCAUAUUAAUUUAUAUUUGAAACUUAUAUUCUUUUAUUAUAUUUAAGUACUAAGGUUGUUUUAACAUAAAUUUAAUUGACUAUUUUACCCUCCUAAGGUAAAAGUACUAAAAUCCUCAAAAAUUUACUUCAACUAAACUAACAAAAUGUAUUUAUGACCUAUGGGGCAUUAAAAAUAUUGAAUUUUAUUUUUAAAAUAUUAUAUUACAAAACAUAAAACUAUAUGCUAGAUACUAUAGUACAUGUUUCUUGGGGUAAUAUAGUCAUUUUACAUUAUAAGGAUGAAAUAGUCAAAUUAAACUUAACUUGAAGCACCCGUAAAUGCCAAAAAUUGUUAAAAGACCUAAGUCAUAAAAGAAAAUUAUUAUCAGAAUAAUUUAUUUAGUUAAUUAUCUGACUUAUUGUUAAUUUAUAAUUUUAUAAGCUAUUGUGAACUUAUUGCAAUUAUCUAAUGGAGAUGAGGGGGGGUUUUGCAAGAAUAUGAGCGGCAGUAUUGCCACUCUAUAAAAUAAAAAGAAUUAUGCAGUCAUGCAAAUGCAAAUAUGCUGAACUUACCUUGCAGGUUGUUAUGACGAAGAUCCAAAUCAAAAAGGUUGCUCAAAUUUCCUAUCCCUGAAGGAAUAUUUCCAUCAAUAACGUUGAAACUUGCUUGUAACAUCUCCAAUUUCGAUAAGUUGAAGAGAGAAUUUGGGAUUGGACCCGUGAUAUUGUUAUUACGAAGACUCAUUAUUUGUAAUUUGGAUAAGACACCAAUCCAAGUUGGAAUGCUUCCACUCAAUUUAUUGAAACUGAAACUAAUGAAUUUGAGUCGGCCUAAUUUCCCCAAUUCAUUAGGUAGAUGGCCAUAAAAAUUGUUCAAAGUAACAUCAAGAGACAUUAGGAAUGAGAGAUUUCCCAGGUGUGGGGGAAUAGUGCCUCCGAGACCCAUGCCUGAAAGAUUUAAAGCCUUGACUCUUUGAUGGCGUGAAUCACAAGAAAUACCAACCCAGCUGCAUAUUGGAUGAGAUAUAGACCAAUUAUUUGCUAGGACACUCCGAUAAUCACCGACGUGGGCUUUGAAUGCAAGAAGAGCUGAUUGAUCUGUUAAAUUGUUUAAAGUCGUCGUAGCUAAGUUAGCUAUGGAAUAUUGUAACAACAUAGGAACAAAGAAGAACGAUAGGCGCAUAUUGGUCGUUUUUAAUAGAUACAGCAACAUAAUUGCUAGGUGAGAUUGAAACAAGUUUGAAGUGAAGGAAAUUAGCAUAUACUUAUACAAGAGACAUGAAUUUGAAAACAAGAAAAGAAAAAAUAUACAGGAGACUUGCAAACUGUUAUAUUUUGUCAUUAAGCGAGUCGUCCAAGUAAACGCACGUAUGGACUUGCAAAUUGUUAAACGUCGCUGUACUUGAACCGUAAACAAAGGGUGUGUUUGGUUGGAGGAUUAAAAGUGGGGAUUAGACACUUUUUUUUUUUUUUAAAUUUUAUCCUUAUCUCAUGUUUGGUGCUGUCAAGGGUAUUAGGAUUUAGUUAUCUUGAACUCACAAGCUAAUCUUAAUUUUGUAAAGGAAAUUAUCCCAAGAGGGGUCAUGGGAUUAGUUAGUAUUGGAUUAUAUUGAUAACUCAAUUAAACAUAAUAAUUUAUAAAUAUUAAAAUUAUAGUAAUAUGUGAUAAAUGUAAUAAAAAAAUAUUGAUUUUAAUAAUGUAAAUAAUAAAUUAUACUAAAAAUCAUUAUUAAUUUCACAUUAAAUUAAAAUUCUAUUUUACUUUAUUUAAUUAUUAAAUAUUUUUUAUAAUUCCAAAUUUACGUUAUAAAUUAAUUAUUAAAUUAGUAUUCAAAAAGAUAAAUUUUUAUAAAAUAAUAGAUUAUUGAAUAAAUAUCAUAUAAAUAUCAUAUACAUAUUUAACAAAAUAAUAAUUAUUUAAAUUAUGAUUUCUAUUUCUUUAACGUCAUUGAGGUUGAUUUGUAUAAUUAAUAAUACAAAAUUUUAGUUUAUAAUAAUAUUAAUAAUAAUAAUAACUUGUAAAUUGUAAUAUUAUAAUGUAAAACAUGAUUAUUUAUAGUCCAAUCUAAUAUUGUACCAAACACAAUAUAGUAUUAUAUAUAAUCCACUAUUAUUCAAUCCAAUUCAAUUUUAUCCAAUUUAAUCUAAUCUAAUUCAAUCAAAUCCGGCGGACCAAACCAGCCCAAAGGGUUUAUGGCCCUUUACUUACCAAACAGAAAAAGAUGCUCAACAUUGACAUCUUUGACCCAAUCCAAAUCUAAUCCAUACAUCUGCGGAUCAGAUGCAGAUUUAACCUAAUCCAUAUCCAAUCCACCAUUUUACGGAUUGGUUUGUAGACUGAAAAAUAUUAUAAGAAUAAUUUAUUAAUUGUUCAGACUUAAUUUAUAAUUCUAUAAGAUAAUGUGAACUUAUUAUAACUAUCUUAUCAAAAUGAGGUGGGAUUGCAAGAAUAAUGAGUAGAAAUAUCCCCAACCGAUAAAAUAAAAAGAAUUUUACAGCUAUACAAAUGCAAAUAUGUAGAACGUACCUUGUAGGUUGUUAUAAGCUAGAUUCAGAUACAAAAGAUUGCUAAAAUUUCCUAUCGCUGAAGGAAUAUUUCCAUCAAUGACGUUGUACGUUGCGUGUAACGCCUUCAGCCUCGAUUAAUUGAAGAGAGAAUUUGGGAUUGGACCCGUGAAACUGUUAUUACGAAGACUCAACACUUGUAAUUUGGAUAAGACGCCAAUCCAUGUUGCAAUGCUCCCACUCAAUUUAUUGAAAGUGAAACUAAUGAAUAUGAGUCGGCGUAAUUGCCCCAAUUCAUUAGGUAGAUUGCCAAGAAAAUUGUUCAGGCUAACAUCAAGAGAUUCAAAUGAAUUUUUGAUGGCGCGAACCGCAAGAAAUGCCAAUCCAGGUACACAUUGGAUAAGAUAUAGACCAAUUAUUUGUCAGGAUACUUCGAUAAUCAACGACACGGGCUUUGCAUGCAAGAAGAGCCGAUUGAUCGGUUGUUAAGAUGCAAUAGUGAGUAGUGAAAGUGGUUUGAGGUGGAGAUGCACCGGGAUCUACGGCCAUCCUGAGUUCAGCCAGAAGCAUAAUACUUGGACUCUCAUGAAAAGGUUAGCCAGCCUAUUUUCCUAUCCUUGGUGCUGUUUUGGUGAUUUUCAAUGAGAUAAUGCAUAUGCAUGAGAAAAACGGGGGCAAUGAGAGAAACCUGAAUAGGGUUGCCGAGUUUAGGGAAGCUGUGCAAAGCUGCAAUUUGCAGGAUAUGGGGUGUAAGGGAUAUCCCUAUACGUGGUCAAACAAAAGAUACAGAGAUCAUUUUAUUGAUGAGAGAUUGGACCGUUUUCUGUGUAGUAAAGAUUGGGGGAUUAAUUUUCAAGAAUCUGUAGGCACAAAUCUAGUGAACUGGUCUUCGGACCACUGCCCAAUCAUUCUAGAUUUCCAUGAGCGAAGCCAAAAUUCGAGACAUGCGGGCAAAUCUCUCCCCCGAGAUUAUUAUGAGGAUAUGUGGAGCUCCCACGAAGGCUGUAGGAGUAUAGUCCAGGAAGAGUGGAGCCGGUAUGGGGCUAGAGCUUGGGAAGCCCCUGUUCAGCAAUUUCAAUGAAUAGCCAAAUCUUCCUUGGCCCAGCUAAAACUUUAGAGCAAAACCGAAUUUCAUGGUAGGCAAAGAAAGUAAGAAAAGCUUAUGCAGAGCCUCCAGGAUGCUAUGAGAGGGAAUUCAAAGCUGGAUGAUGGCCAGGAAAUUAGGAGAUUGGAAAGUCAGAUUAACUCUAUGCUAGUUGAUGAGGAGAUUUACUAGAAACAGCGUUCGAGGGCCGACUGGCUUAGAGAAGGGGAUAAGAACACGAAGUAUUUUCACGCCAAAGCAUCUGCCCGCAAAAGGAAGAACAAGGUGUGGGGGAUUGAGAAUGACCAGGGCAUUUGGUUGAAGGAAAGGGAUGAAAUAGAGGAGGAGAUUUGCAGCCAUUUCCAAAAGCUUUUCACUACUUCCAGCCCGACUCCAAGCCAAAUCCAAGCAACCCUUCAAGGCAUGACAACAAAAGUAACUCCGGAGAUGAAUGUUCAGCUGGAGAAGCCGUUCACCGCUGAAGAUGUUGAGGAAGCCCUUGCCAACAUGUGUCCCACAAAGGCCCCAGGGCCUGAUGGUCUUCCAGCUGCCUUCUUCCAGAAGCAUUGGAAAUCUGUCCGUAACAGAGUGAUCUCAACGUGCCUUAAUGUCCUUAAUGAGCAAGGUAACCCAUCUACCCUCAAUCACACCUUUAUAGCUUUGAUUCCAAAAAUUGCAAAUCCUAGGAAAGUGAGUGAUUAUAGACCUAUCAGCCUCUGUAAUGUUAUUUAUAGAGUUGUAGCUAAGGCCAUUGCAAAUAGAAUGAAGCCGAUCUUUUCCCAAAUCAUCUCCCCUAUGCAAAGUGCAUUCAUCCCCAAUAGGCUCAUUACCGACAAUGUUAUUAUUGGUUAUGAAUGCCUUCAUAAAAUUAGGCAUAGCAAAGGGAAGAAGAACGGACUUGUAGCUUUAAAAUUGGAUAUAAGUAAGGCUUAUGAUAGAGUUGAGUGGCCUUUUUUGGAACAAACUAUGCUAAAGAUGGGGUUUCCUAGUAAUUGGGUAGCUCUGAUAAUGAGAUGUGUUAUUUCCACUUCAUUCUCGGUGCUAAUUAAUGGUGUGCCAAAAGGAAUGAUCCAGCCAAAAAGAGGCUUGCGACAGGGCUGCCCGCUAUCCCCGUACCUUUUUAUCCUUUGUGCAGAGGCUCUCUCCAAUUUGCUGGUUGUGGCAGAACAGAACCAGCUAAUCCAAGGGCUCAAAUUUGCGCGGGAAGUUUCAAUUACGCACUUGCUGUUUGCGGACGAUAGCUUGGUAUUCUCUCGUGCAUCAGUGGCUGAAUGCAGGCAUUUAAAAGAAAUGUUUGAUAAAUAUGCUGCAGCAUCAGGGCAGAUUUUUAAUUUUCAGAAAUCCUCACUGUUCUUCAGUGGAAAAAUUCCAGAGCAUCAACGGGCUGCUAUAAGGGGUAUCUUUAAUCUAAAUGUAGUCUCAAAGCAUGAGAAAUACCUUGGCCUACCAUCAAUGAUUGGGAGAAAGAAGAUGGGGUUCUGUAACGACAUCAAGCUGAAAGUGUUGAACAAGAUUGCAGGAUGGCAGCAUAAAAUGUUGUCUAGUGGGGGGAAGGAAGUUCUGAUCAAAGCGGCAGCCCAAGCAAUUCCGGCGUAUGCAAUGAGUGUUUUCAAGCUCCCAAGAGGCUUUUGUGAUGAUAUUCAGCGAGCUAUAGCGAAGUUCUGGUGGGGCUCGAAAGGGGAUAAGCACGGAAUCCAUUGGCGAAAAUGGGAGAAGCUCAGCCAGGCAAAGAUUAGAGGGGGGCGGGGAUUUCGAGAGUUUUCUUGCUUCAAUCAAGCGCUGGUAGCUAAGCAAGCUUGGAGGUUACUGCAGUACCCAAAUUCGCUGGUCUCCAAAGUCCUUCAAGCAAGAUAUUUCAGGAAUUCCAGCUUUUUAUGUGCAAAGGCAGGAGCCAAUGCCUCGUAUAUUUGGAGAAGCAUCAUGUGGGGUAGGCAGGUGAUUAAGAAGGGUAUGAGAUGGCAGAUAGGUAAUGGCAAGAAGGUAGCAAUUUUCUCGGAUAACUGGCUGCCAAGACCAGAGACCUUCAGACCUAUCUUCCCUCCAUCUUUGCCCGUAAGCUCAGUUGUUGCAGAUUUAAUUAAGGCUGAUAAUCAAUGGGAUGAAAUAAAGCUUCGACAGCACUUCAUGGAUGUAGACACAGCAGAGAUCCUCAAGAUUCCCCUCCCAACUGAGAAAGAAGAAGAUGGAGUGCUUUGGGAUUACGACAAAAGAGGGAACUACUCUGUCAAGAGUGGGUAUCAGCUAGCAUUGAGAUCAAAAUUUCCAGAUUCCACCAGCUGCACAGAGGCUUCCCACAAGUACUGGAGUGCCCUUUGGACACUGGAGUUGCCUGCGAAGCUUAAAAUUUUCAUGUGGAGGGCCUCUAAUAAUCUGCUUCCAUCGGUGGAAAAUCUGUGGAAAAGGAAGGUAGUGGAGGAGCCAACUUGUAAGCGAUGCAAACUGAGUGUUGAGACUAUCAGCCAUGCUCUCUUGGAGUGUAAGGUAGCGAGAAAAAUUUGGCUCCAAUCCCCCUUUUCAGGCCUUAGAUUAGAAGCCAAUUCUCAGGACAUUUUCAGCACUUUGCAAAAUAUGGCUAAGGAGAUGAGGAAAUCAGAUCUGGAAUUAAUGGUAGCUCUGUGUUGGUCUGCCUGGUAUGCUAGGAACAAAUGUAUCUUCGAUGGCAGGGAGAUUAAUCCUAUUAUAUCAGCUGCUAAAGCGGAGUCUGUUUUGUCAGCUUUUCAGAGAGUUAGGAAGCCCCAGCAAGCUCACAUCUCUAUCUUCAUAAAAGAGAAGCAGCAGGAGUGGCUCCCCCCUCCCCCGAAUGUUUUUAAAGUUAAUGUGGAUGCUGCUCUUAAUUCAAAGAAUCUGAGUGCAGGAGUGGGAACUGUGAUUAGAGACUCUAAUGGAAAGAUAGUUGCGGCUGGGGUAAAUCAGAACCUCCUAAAGGGGUCAGCUAGCUUGGCUGAAGCAGAGGCGGUGCUUUGGGGCCUUCAGCUGGCGAGAAAGGCGGAUGUAUCCUCUUUGAUUAUUGAGUCUGAUUGUUUAGAGGUGGUCCAGCUAGUGAACAACACCAAGGGCAGCAGAUCAGAAAUUUUUUGGACAAUUCUGGCAAUCCAAAACCAGAUGAAGAACUUCCAGAAAGUGGUUGUCAAUCACAUUCCAAGACAUUGUAAUGCUUGUGCCCAUUACCUAGCUAAGAUAGCUUUGGGGAAAAUCUCUCCCUGUAUGUGGCUGGGAAAUAUUCCAGCUGAAUUGUAUGGUAUUAUCAAGGUGUUGUGAUUAAUGAAAGGUUUACUUUCUUUUCAAAAAAAAGAAGAAUGAUAAGCGCAUAUUGGUCUUUUUUUUUAGAUGCGUCCAUCUAAUUGCUAAGUGAAGUUGAUACAAGUUUUAAGUGAAGGAAAUUAGCAUAUGCAUAUACAAGAGGCGUAUGAAUUUUGAUAACAAGAAAAGAAAACAAUAUACAGGAGAGUGGAGGCUUGCAAAUUGUUAUAUUUCAUUAUUUAGCGAGUCGUCCGAGUAAACGCGUAUAGACUUUUAAAUUGUUAUACGCCGCCGUACUUGAACCGUGAAUAAAGGGCUUAUGGCACUUGAGUUACCAAAAAGAAGAAGAUGCUCAACAUUGGCAAGGCCUAUGCAUUCUGUCCAUUUGUUCACGUUUUGCCGAGGCUCAUGGCAACCACAAUAUGUUCUUUUUCUUUCCUCUAAAAAACAAAAAGACGACCUUCACAUUUGGGCUAAUAAUUAUCACUAAACAAUUAAUAAUGCUGAGGGCUAGUGGUAAUGUAGCUUUAAAAUAAUUGUUAUUAGUUGCGCCUUAAAAAUAAAGAAAUAAAGAUAGUUAUACUAUACCCCCACAAUUUAAUAAAAUAAUCAUGUAAAUUUCUAAACUUUUAACAAUAUACACCAAGACCCCUUAUGUUACUUUUUACCAUUUAUUUGGAUGUCACAUGCUUUUUUUUUUUUUUUUUUAAAUUUUUCACUGCAGAAAUUAAAUGCUAAAUUUACUGUUAUUCCCAUAUCAUGUCAUCGCUUGCUUCUACACAUAUUGAUUGUUUUUCCAAAGUUUAAAAUUGAAUUAAAAACAUUCUAAUUAACCUAAAAAUUAAAAAAAAAACUCAUCCAACCAGAUAUAAAUCUUCUAAUUAACCUAAAGAUAAGCUACACCCCCAUAUUAAUUCCAAUUAAAUAAAUCUUCAUUUUUGUCAUGGUUUUGGAUCUCGAGCAGGGUGGAUACAUCCAACCAGAUCCGCCCCAUUGGCAUUCCAAUAUAUUAUGGAAUUGGAAGAGUAUCAAUGACUUAAUUUGUAAUUUUAAAUUUGUAACGUAUAAUUCUAAUUUAAGGAUUCAAAUUAAUUUAUGCGGAUCUAAAAGGGGACUGAUGAUGGGCAUGCAUACAUACAUGCAUACAUAUAUUUACAUAGAGAGAGAGAGAGUGAGGUAAUAUAACAUUCUUCUUGAUGAAGAUUUUUGUGCCAUACGCAUUAAAGAGAGUAUUGUGUCGAUGUUGGAGGCUAGAGGGACAAGUGGUUACAUUGCUUCAGAGGUGUUUAGUAGAAACUUUGGUGAGGCAUCACAUAAUUUAAACUACUAGAUUUAGCGAGAUAUAUAUAUUUUCCACAUUGGAUUUACAAGCAUUUGGAGCAGGAUAAUGAAUUUAAAUUACUCGGAAUUGUAAACAGCGGAAAGUGAAAUUGCUAAGAAGAUGAAUAUUGUUGUUUUGUGGUGUAUACGGACUCGUCCAUCGGAUAGGUCGCCCAUGAACAGAGUGAUAGAAAUGUUAUUGCAAAGAAGCAGACUGACUAGCAGUGACGCUUUGAAUAAAUCCACCAAACAUCUUCUCCUACAAGACCACCAAUAUAUUCUUCCACCAUUCAACGUCGUGAUGUGGGGAUCAGAAUUGAAUUAUAGGAUGCUUGUAAGUUUCCUUUGUGGAACUUGUGAAUUUGUGAUGGCAAAAGUCAAUGAUGCAUGUAACUAGCCGGCCCGUGUAGAGGCCGUUUGACUCAUAAAUAUUUGUCACUUUCACUCUUUUUCAAAACCCAAAAGCACGCUAAAGCUUAAUCUAAAAAGAAUUUUUGAUUUAGUGCUGACAUUUUGGGCUCACCUUUGAGUAAUGUUUUACCACGCAUGCAUUUAUGUCAUUGUGCGGUCAUCCUUUACUUCUAAAGAUCGUAAUCUUUAAGAAAAAAUUACUUCUUUUGAAAGUGAAAGCAGGCCAGCUAUUGGCGUAUUGCAUUGAAGCUGCUAUGUGUAGUAGUCAAUUCUUGGAAAGAACUAGUUUUCUUAAAUUGUAAAUGGUCCCCUUUAUGACUGGGAGAUUUUGAACAAAAUUAAUAUGAUGAAUUCUUAGCAAGUGUUGUUCCUUGAAGUCUCAUCUUUCACAAUGUUUUUGAAAUAAAGAUAUUACCAUCUCUGACUAAAGAUUUACUCUUGAUUUGGACCACCUAAUCUGAACUUGAUGGAUGAUUAUGAUCUUGCCUAAUUUUAUGGAUGUGGUCUUAUCUCACGUAAGUCAGUAAUGAAUUAAUUAAAGUUUACUGUCAAAUUAUGAACUGAAAAACUGCUGCUACUUCAUUAUUCACAAUGCCCAAAUUCAGUGCAGAACUGAUUAUAAGUUUUCCGAAAGUUUUACGCUUUCUUUCCCCCAAAUCCCAAGUACUUCCUGUAAUAUCAUUCCCCUAUAGAUGUCUUCCCCUGAGACAUUUUUAACUUUGGUUCAGGGUAACAAAGCUAUAGCUUUUCCUGUCGUGUGCAACAAGCUAUUAAAUUAGAGUAUUUAUUUCUGUAUUACUACUAGUAGUAAGAGAGGCGAAAUGGAAUCUUGAAUUCAUGUUUAUACAACAGUUUGUUUAUAAAUAAAUGAGUUGAUAACAAGUCAUUUUAAAUAUUUGCAAAAAAAAAAACGGUGAGUGAUGUCUAGUUCUAUUUUCAAUGUUCAGAGUCGAAUUUUGAUUACUGAAAAUUUUAAUUUAUGAAGUUGAACUAAGAAUUUGUUAUAAUAUAUUCCACCUUCCUAUACAGUCAUCUGGAAUAAUAAUAUAUCAAAAACAGUAAUAACUUGAUUUACAGGGUGAGAAAGAAAAGAAAGACGCUACGAGGGAAGCAGAGAUUCAAAGACUUCGCUACUUUGUUGGAGGAACAAUUUCAUAAAUCUCCAGAAUAUUGACAUAAAACACAGAACAUAUCUAGCAUUAAGUAUAUUUAUGUAUGUCCAAAGAUAAAAAUUCGAAGAUUAGAUUUAUCAUUUCAAUUUAUGUUCCGCCCAAAGCAAUGGCUUUUAUUCCACAAGCACAAACAAGAAAGAGUACACAAAGUUAACAAACACACAUGUUGAUGCGAGAUUCUGGUUGUCCUCGUUCUACGACCAGGGUCUCUGCUCGAUCAACUUCACCACGACCAGGAUCUCUCCUCGUAAAGCUUCUUCUCCAGAGGUUCCUGCGCACACAGACAGGUCAGAGUACGCCGGUUUUUUUCCCGGCGCAAACCCUCCAACGCUCAAGUCAGAAAUAGGGGUUCUGGGAAUGUUUGCCACGAAUCUUAUGGCUUCUUUUUAAUCUCAGUUCUCGGAACUUUCUUUUCUUAGUUCUAAUAGCAAAAAGUCUAACCCUUUUACCUUUGCUGGCUACUUUUUUAUAGGCUUCCUCUGAAUCCCGGUCUUCCGUAGUCCACGCCCAUUACUCUUCCCACCCUCGGAUGUGGAUGCCCCAUUGUCGUCAUUGUGGGCGAAUGGAGAUGGACUUCGUGCCUUGAUUCUCGGAUAGGAACGCACGUCUUGCCAACUGUCGUUGACCGGGUCUCCUCGCCUCGACCCCUAGCAGGAAUGGCCUUAUGCCUCUAACAGGAGUUCGUCCUCGUGAAUGGCAUAUUUGUGGACGAGCAGAAUAUUCCUGCUCCUGUUCCCUUGCUACCAGGCUCUUACAGGACAUACCUGUUCGCAGAACUCUGCCACCAAAUAUAUGCUCAUCAUGUCUGGUCUCGUCGAAGUAUUUCCCUCAAACACCGGUCCCCCAGUUUCUGGUGUUGGGUAAUGUAAUGGACCAGCAGUAGAAACUCAACAGUUCUUGCUCGCGUGAGACUUGAAAAGGCUGCCAAGAGUCGUGUCGCAUUUAAUUGCGGAUGCAGUGAUGUGGCAGAAAUCUACCCCUUCGUUUGAAUUUCAAACCUACGGUUGCAAGAUUCUCAGAAUCUGCGUCAUUAAAUGCUGGCAGCCCAAAAGUUUGCUUCUCAGUAAGAAAACCCAAAAUCCUCAAACACGAACUCGUCAUUUUCUCCAUUCCUGUCUCUCCGGCUAAUGAACCUCGGCAUUAAAGCUUUCAUCCCUGUCUCUCUCUGAGCGAGUCCCUGCUUCAGGUAUUUCUUCUAUCUUCACGGUCUCGGUUAGUUGUAGAUAAUUUCUUUUCUCUUUGCUUUGCUUGGGGUAGUAUCUGGUAGUGGUGUUUUGGUUAUAACCUAGGGAAUGUCGAAGGGUAAGGAGAAAGUCGUUGAUAUUGAUGACGACGAACUAGGUUUCUUGCCUAGUCUGCUCACUGAUUCUGCUUUUGGCCCCGGGAUCCCCUUAGAGCCCACUAGGUCUAGUGUUGGGACUAGCGCUAGGAGGAUGUCCCCCCAAACAACCUCCACGAGCGGAAGUAGUGGCGAGGAGGGACCUUCUGGCUCGGAAGACACCCUAAGUGAGGAUCAAUGAGGUGACUCUGGUGAGGGAUCUUCACCGGGAACACUGCGACCAGAAGGGUGUAGUACAGUAGGAGGUAGAGCCUUGUCGCGGGAUUAUGCUAUUGAUUACAUGACCUGCACGACCACAUUCAACGAGCUGGAUGACCUCCGGCUCAGGUAUCAUAUUCCUGGUGAGGUACUCCUUAGGAUCCCAGGAAAGAAAGAUAGUCUUAGCAGGCCUCCUAGGGGAUUUGUCACCUUGUUCUUGGAGAGUUUUAAGUACGGGCUAAGGUGCCCCUUGCAACUCUAUUUUGCUCGCAUACUCCACGGGCUCAAUCUAGCUCCUGGUCAGUUGAACCCCAAUGGGUGGAGGGUGCUCUUUGGUCUGUUCAUAUUGUGGGACAGAUGUUGCCAAAGCGAGCCCACGGUUGAUGAGGUGAAGCACCUGUACCAGCUAAGGAGUAGCCCCAAAGAUGCCGGCUGGUACUACUUCCAAUCUAGUACCAAGAGUAGGAAACCCAUAACUGAUCUUCCAACUGGUGGUGGUGGGACUUGGAAGAGGAAAUUCUUUUUUGCUGGGGGUCCUUGAGGUCAAGUUGCACAAAUAGACGGGAAGGAUUGUCGCGUCCCACCCCGUUUCACGGUCCCAGGUUGCCUGCUCACUUUAGAUGUCUUGUAUCCAUAAUUGUUCUUACUUUAUUGGUUUGUCUCUAACCAAGUGUCUGUUUGUGUUGUAGUUUCUUGGGGUGUUCAUUUUCCGCUCAAACCUGAUCAGCUCAAACGGGUCGAGGCUGUACUAGCCAACUCCUGCCCGAGCCGAGAACUGAUAACUAUUUAUAACUUCCUCGAGUCUCGCUUGGUACUCCCUGGCCAUAAGAUGGAGGACGCUGUGAUUGGGGCUCUGAACAGGAAACGUUCUCGACCUCAAAACACGAAGAGGGACCAGAACAAGGACGCCCCUAGGGCAAAGCGGACCAACAUCGUGCAGCAAGUCUCUCCCUUGAAGACUUUACCUCCUGCUCCUGCCAAAGUCAGCGAAACUAGUGGAGCAGCCACAGAUCCUGCUUCCUCUUCUCCUCCUGUCGGGCCUCGAUCUCGCUUUCCUGACAGCCGAGCAGAACACUUGGUCCCCUAUCUCAAUGAGUUAUCUAAACUCGUGAGCAAGAAGGACCUGGAGGACUUUAAUGGCUGCACCCUGGGCGAGCUGGUAGGAGCCAUGCAGUAUAGUGCUUUCCAUCUCAGCUGCAUGACCACCUAUUAUAAGGCUAAGGUUGGCCGUUAUGACAGGAAGAUGAAGGAGGACAUUCAAUCAGCGAUGACCAGAGCUGACGCCGCCGAGAAGAAAGCAGGAGAGCUAAAUGUCGAGAACCUGAAGCUGAUAGAGCAAGAAUCUCUUGCUCAAGCAAAAGCCAUUACCCUCGAGGAGGAGCUGACCAAGGUCAAGGAGGAUCUUCAAAGGCAGAAGGCAAUGUAUGAGGCUCAGCUCGAAUCUCUCCGCGAUUCCCAUCGAGCUCAGGUCGAGAACUUGGAGAAGGAGGCCGACAACCAGUACGACCAGGGACUUCGGCAUUCCUAUCGUUGCAUCAUGGCCGUCCUCGGGAAGCAGCAUCCUGAUCUAAAGAUGGACGACCUUGCAGCUGGUGUCGCCCAACAUAUGGACGAGGAGGCUGCAAAGGAGGAUGCCGAAGGGGUAGACGCAAUCGUGAUUGAGGAGGAAAACUCUCCUCCUCAUGUAGACCCUGCUGACGUUGGCGAGGCGAGCACCCCCCCGGACGCAACUGGUGAUACCCCCCCUGCACCUGAGGAGGUCCAGCCAACCGAUGCUGCUCGGCAUACUGAUCCGCCAUCUUCUUGAACUUAUCUUGUGCUGUAAUUGCUUUUUGAAUAUUCUAUAUAACAGCUUUGUAAACUUUUAAGAGCUUAAUAAGAUUGUUCUUAUUUGCUUCCUCGCAUUGGUAUUUUAAUUUAUUUAUCUAUUUGGCUUCUGUCCUCGUCACAGAGGAGGCCUUGAAGUUUGACGAGCCUUUGCCUGUCUUGGAUAAUUUCUUCAAUGAUUGGGAUUCUGCUCGCCUUCGCGUGGUCGAGCAGAUCCUGGCACGCUUGGCUUUUGGUCUCGCCAUAAACAGGCUUUGAGACUCGACGAGCCUUUGCAUGCCUUAGUUUCUUCAAGGAUUGGGAUUCUGCUCGCCUUCGUGUGGUCGAGCAGAUCCUGGCACGCUUGGCUUCUGGUCUCGCCAUAAACAGGCUUUGAGACUUGACGAGCCUUUGCAUGCCUUAGUUUCUUCAAGGAUUGGGAUUCUGCUCGCCUUCGCGUGGUCGAACAGAUCCUGGCACGCUUGGCUUCUGGUCUCGCCAUAAACAGGCUUUGAGACUCGACGAGCCUUUGCAUGCCUUAGUUUCUUCAAGGAUUGGGAUUCUGCUCGCCUUCGCGUGGUCGAGCAGAUCCUGGCACGCUUGGCUUCUGGUCUCGCCAUAAACAGGCUUUGAGACUUGACGAGCCUUUGCAUGCCUUAGUUUCUUCAAGGAUUGGGAUUCUGCUCGCCUUCGCGUGGUCGAGCAGAUCCUGGCACGCUUGGCUUCUGGUCUCGCCAUAAACAGGCUUUGAGACUUGACGAGCGUUUACAUGCCUUCAAUUCUUCAAGGAUUGGGAUUCUGCUCGCCUUCGCAUGGUCGAGCAGAUCUUGGCACGCUUGGCUUCUGGUCUCGCCAUAAACAGGCUUUGAGACUUGACGAGCCUUUGCAUGCCUUCAAUUCUUCAAGGAUUGGGAUUCUGCUCACCUUCGCGUGGUCGAGCAGAUCCUGGCACGCUUGGCUUCUGGUCUCGCCAUAAACAGGCUUUGAGACUUGACGAGCCUUUGCAUGCCUUCAAUUCUUCAAGGAUUGGGAUUCUGCUCGCCUUCGCGUGGUCGAGCAGAUCCUGGCACGCUUGGCUUCUGGUCCCGCCAUAAACAAGCUUUGAGACUUGGUGAGCCUUUGCAUGCCUUUGAUAAUUUCUGGAAAGCUUAGGAUUCUGCUCACCUUCUCGUGGUCGAGCAGAUCCUGGCACGCUUGGCUUCUGGUCUCGCCAUAAACAGGCUUUGAGACUUGGUAAGCCUUUGCAUGCCUUUGAUAAUUUCUUGAACAGUGUAGUUGAUUCAAACUCCUCAUUGAUUCAUUUAUUAUUGAAUUCGGCUUACAUGAGGUUGCUUUGAAAUAAGAAAUAAAAAAAUAGAAAACAACAGACAUGAACAGAAAAAAAACUUUAAAACAUGAGUAAGUCUUACUAGAAAUAUUUCCUGAGGUGUGCCGCGCUCUAGGGGCGUUUCACCUCGUGGCCCUCCGUGCGAACCAACUUGUAAACUCUGGGUCCAACUAGCUGCCAUUCCUGGCUUCCACUCGGGUAUCAAAGGAUGUUAUCUGCAUUGCUUCCUUUGUUGCCGAGGAGUAACAGCUUCGUGCGAUUCUCUGGUCUCCUCGUACCACUCCAACUACCCCAUUCACCCGGUACUUGAGAGCCAGAUAAUGGUUGGACAGCACCGCUUUGCUCAUCCUCAGAAAUGGCCGGCCUAGGAUCAUCUGAUAAGGACCUUCCUCAUCCACUACCACAAAGUCCAGUAUCAUUGUCCUUUCUGUCGGGGAGCUCCCAAUCGUGAUAAGUAGCUCGACCACGCCCAGAGGGACCAACUUUCCUCCUCCAAACCCCUUCAAGGAGGUAUUGGUGUAAUCCAACUUCAGGUCUGCUAUUCCCAUUUCCUCCAGGGUUGACUUAAACAACACAUCAACUGAGCUCCCUGUGUCAACCAGUAUCCUGUCAAACUUCUUGCUGGCAACAGUGGCCUUGAUGACCAAAGCAUCCUCGUGGGGGUAUAGAAUCCCUUCUUCAUCCUCAUCUGUCCACAUGAUUGGCACUUGCCUGACUCUUGCACAUUUGGCUGCUGGGGUGUUGAAGAAUACAUCUUUGCUGGUCAUGGCGUAUCUAGCGUAAUUCUUCCUCGACCUGUUGGAAUCUCCGGCCAAUGUUGGGCCCCCAGCUAUCACCCUUAGUGCAGGAUGCUCGCGCCUCAGGUUUCUAUCACUCUGCUCCCCUUCAUAUGUCGAGGCCACCAUCGGGAAAGUCCCAUCUACAAACUCGUCCAGGUACCGAUUUCUCACCAAAUCUUCAACCUGGGUCUUGAGAUCUCUGCAUUCUGCGGUGGUAUGGCCAUGAGUGCCAUGGAACUUACAAUGGCGUCCCCUAUCCCUCCUGCCGGGUAGCUUUGUUAUUGGGGCAGGGAGGUACAGCAGUCCUCGGUCCUUUAUGGCCUCGUAUACUUCAUCUAGGGACAUCUUCAAGGACGUGUAUCGCCCAUACUCCUGGUUCUGGUCGAUCAGGUGCACGGCCCUUUCUCUAUUUGCUCCGUUCUGAGUUGGAGGCGAUGACAGCAUUUCUGGUCUGCUCCCUCUACUACCGUGGGAGUGUUGAUGAAGACCACCAUAUGUCGAAUCAUGCCUUCUCCAAGGCUCCCUAGCUGGGGAACGAGGAGGGUGCGCCCUGCUGCGCUGAUACUGUGGUGGCCUCUGAUGAGGCUGGUGAGCUGUUACCCGACCUCCUGCUCCACUACCUGAGGCCUGGAGGUCCCUCCUCCUGAUCGGCCAAUUUCCCAGUAAUGCCCUCUUUUCUUUCUUUUCCAACCCCUCCAGCUGGUCUGUCUUAAUCCGAGCUGCCUUUUCUUCCUCGAUCUCUAUGUCUCUUUUAGCUUGCUCGUAUGCGGCUGCAUACGUCUGAAUAGCUGGGCUUCUCAAGUUGUACCACAGCCUUCCUAUCUUCACUCCCUCUUUCAAUCCCCUUAGUGCCUGAGGAUGGUCGAAGGCUCCCAAAUCGAGGACAGCACGAUGAAACCUCUUGAUGAAUUCCCGAAGAGUUUCUUGUUCCCCUUGCUUCAUGCUUUUCAACUCCAUCAUGUCAUCUUCUAGUGCCAUUGCCCCACGAAACUGCUCUGCAAACUCCUGGCACAUCUGCUCGAAGGUUUUAAUGCUCCUCCCCCGAGGAAGUUUUCUGUACCACUCUCGUGCACGUCCCUCAAGGGAUAGUGGGAACACCCUGCCUGCACCUUUGGGAUUGAGAUAAUCCUUGUACCCCAAUUAUGUCGUUGAAGCGCUCUAUGUGCACCAGCGGAUCUGUUCGUCCCGAAUAUCUAAGGUCUGGGAGGCGGAAAUCUCUCGGAAUAACUGCCCUCAUGAUCUCUGCUGCGAGCGGUGAUUCUCCAUCUAGCAUUAUCCUCCAACCAGGAGCUCUGCUCCUUCCUUGCAUGUCGUCAAUUAUCUGCGCUAGUCUGCGCACUUCCUCCUCCAGCUGCACUGCACGACCAGGGUCACGUGCUGCAACUUGAUCCCGCUCUUGCUCUACAUCAAGCAAGUGUUGCCUCAACUCUGUUUCCUCUGCAUUUGCCACCCCGUCGUCCUCGUCAAAAAUCUGUCUUGCCGGGAAUUGCUCUUCCUCUCUACGGAAUUCUCCCCGCAGAGGUAUGUUACCUCUCUCACCACCAAAUCUCCCGGUGGUUUGACUUCUCCUCGUACUAUCGGGACCUAGUGCCACUCCACCAACUCUCAUCCUUUCCUCCUGGGUUACCCUUCGUUCACUCCGCAACUCAUGCAGGAUGGUUGUCAGGGUCUCCAUCUGCUUUUCCAUUCGUUCCAUUCGGUCGAACAUGGCUUUUUCCCGUGCUUCACUGGCUAUCUCCCUCAGAGUCACGGAAUCGUUAAGCCUCAUAUCACCCCCUUGUGCACUACUUCCUCCUGUCUCCAUUGCUUUUCACUUGCUUCACUCCUCUUCUUGCUAUCAACAGAAGCUUUUUGAUCAGCUCCCCACAGACGGCGCCAAAAUAUUGAUGCGAGAUUCUGGUUGUCCUCGUUCUACGACCAGGGUCUCUGCUCGAUCAACUUCACCACGACCAGGAUCUCUCCUCGUAAAGCUUCUUCUCCAGAGGUUCCUGCGCACACAGACAGGUCAGAGUACGCCGGUUGUUUUCCCGGCGCAAACCCUCCGACGCUCAAGUCAGAAAUAGGGGUUCUGGGAAUGUUUGCCACUAAUCUUAUGGCUUCUUUUUAAUCUCAGUUCUCGGAACUUUCUUUUCUUAGUUCUAAUAGCAAAAAGUCUAACCCUUUUACCUUCGCUGGCUACCUUUUUAUAGGCUUCCUUUGAAUCCCGGUCUUCCGUAGUCCACGCCCAUUAGUCUUCCCACCCUCGGAUGUGGAUGCCCCAUUGUCGUCAUUGUGGGCGAAUGGAGAUGGACUUCGUGCCUUGAUUCUCGGAUAGGAACGCACGUCUUGCCAACUGUCGUUGACCGGGUCUCCUCGCCUCGACCCCUAGCAGGAAUGGCCUUAUGCCUCUAACAGGAGUUCGUCCUCGUGAAUGGCAUAUUUGUGGACGAGCAGAAUAUUCCUGCUCCUGUUCCCUUGCUACCAGGCUCUUACAGGACAUACCUGUUCGCAGAACUCUGCCACCAAAUAUAUGCUCAUCAUGUCUGGUCUCGUCGAAGUAUUUCCCUCAAACAACACAUAGCAAACAUGACAUUAACUACUUGCAGCAGCAUCAUCCAGAAACUUCACUAUAAUCUUCUUGAGCUUUUCAGCGGCAUCUUUCGUAGAUGCCCUUUGUUUUGGUGACUCCAUGCAAAAAUCCAAUGCCGAAUGCAUGAUGCUUAAUAAACAAUUCAUUUUAUUAGUACAUUGGAUAUAAUCGAAGGCAGAGUAUAUUUCAGGACAAGUAGAGUAGCAUUCUUGGAUCCUUUGCUAUUAUCUUCUUUGCAAGGUGGGACUUGAGGUCCUGGUGGACAACAUACUGCAUAAUUCUAAAAAAAUUAUUGAGCUGAAAUGUUUUUAAAAGGUCUUUUGAUAGAAACUCCCCCUUCUAGCCUAUUGUGAGACACAUUAAGUUGUUUGAGAUAUAAGAGUGCCUCUAUUGACUUUGGAAUUUCUCCAGAGAAAUUGUUGCUUGGGAGAUCCAAAGAUUCCAACCUUAUCAAACUACCAAAUGAUUUGGGGAUUAGACCAUAAAAUUGGUUUCUAGCCAAGCUAGAUCUUUGGGGCCACCAAUAUUUACUGGCAUAUCACCUGAUAAUUGAUUUCUUGAUAAAUCUAACUCUAUUAAGACCCUUAAGUUUUGUAUAUCACUUGAUAAUUGUUUGUAUUGGGCCUUCUAUUUUCAUUAUAGAAUAAAUUAACUAUUAAUUUUCAUGAGAAAAAUACUUAUUUCCAUAAAAUUAUUCAAGCUUUUAAAAAGAUUUAGAAUUAAAAAUCAAACUUUGUACUGUAGAAAAUUUGCCGGUACGUUCAAUUAGUACUUUGUUUGAGGAAAUAAGAUUAGAAUAGGCUAUAGGUACGGUAGUUAUGCGGUACCUGUUUAAUAACCGUAGUAUAGUAAAUGUUUGACUUUUUUAUUAGAAAUAUAUCAUUAACAAUUUUGUUCGCUAAUUGAAUAGAGAAAGAAAGGGGGGGUGGGGGGGGGGGGAGGGCAAAAAGGUUAACACAUUUCGAAACUACAAACGAUUGCCUUUUCCUAUUAAUAAUGUUUGCGGAUUCUAACAAUUGAAUCUCAAGGUCAUUACAUAGUGAAUUUUAUAGUUAAUAAAAUUAAUAUUCCACAUACUAUCUACUCAAUUAAUGUCACAUUUUUUGAAACUUGAAUGAUCUAUUUGCUACAAUUAGGAGCCAACGUCGUAAUGAAUGUUAAAUUAUGCUGUUUGUUUUGAUUUACUUUUCUAUCUUAGCUCCAAGUGAUUAGCGGAAUGCUGGUCUUGUGAGUAUAAAAUGAACUCCUUAAGUCAAAUUCCUUCUGGGGUGUUGGAGAAAGAACUAAAUACAUGUAAUCUUGCUUUCGGAUAUGGAUUAUCUGAUGGAUGUUGUAUUUUCUAGGUAUUGAGGAGAUUCCUCAUUAUUGAAAAAUUACGUUCCCGAGCAUCAAAAGAUGAUCCCAUAGAAUUGCGUUCUCCUGUGACAAAAGAGGAGCUUGUAGCUGAGGUAUCGAUUUUUAUCUUUCUUGAUUGUUCUUUAUAGUUGUUUCUCAUCAAAAUAGAAAAAGCAGUUUGUUCUGAGUGACCUGUGCGGUCUACUAUCAAUCACUGCCAUUUCUAUCAUUUAGUACUAUUGACUGUGUGUAUAGAUAUUUUGUUUUUGCCAUGUAAUUUCAUGUUUGAUACAUUUCUAAUACAUUGCAUAGCGUUCAUGAACGAGAAUGAUAAACUAACUUUCAGGUGUGUUUAAGUAGAUGAAAAAACUUGGUACAAUUUAGAAGGAUUCACUAAUUUUCCAAUUUGUUUGUAUGGAGAAAUUGAAUAGUUAAUUGAUUAGAGGAUUGCAAAGUGGGUAGGUCCAGCUGGGCAUUGUCAAUAUUAACGAUCGAUGUUUUGAGAAGGUCUGGAGCUGACAUCACGGUUGCGUCUGUGGAGAAACAACUUCGUGUCGACGCGUGUCACGGUGUCAAGAUUGUCGCUGAUGCUCUCGUGUCUGACUGCCGCGACGCCGUUUUUGAUCUUAUAGCUCUUCCCGUAUGUAUUGCAGCUCACCUCAGCUCAUGCCAAUUUAUGUGAUGUUUGUAUAAUUAUAGAUGAUUAUUGCUGAUACUGAAUGUUAAGCUAAAUAAUUCGUUCUUAAGUCAUCUUCAUUUAAUUUUCGAUUGAAAAUGAAAAAAAUAAUAAUUGUAAGCAAAGAAAAAUAUCGAAAAUGUUUAUUUUGUUUUAAUUUUAUUUUUUAAUUUUUUGGGAUUUCCUUAUUGUGGCUGUUAUUAUUCAUUAUAUGGUCCUAGUUAAAUAUUUCAAGUUGUUGUAGUUAGUGAAUUUCUUUUCGAUAUUUAUUCUGGCAUGUAUAUUUUUUCUUUUCAAUUUCUUUUGUUGCUGAUUCUUUGAUUAUGUUAUAUCCUUUUUUGUUUCCCUUGUAGGGUGGCGUGCCUGGUGCUACCAAUCUGAAAGAAUCUGAAGUAUUAGAAAGCAUUGUGAAGAAGCAGGCUUCAGAUGGGCGUCUUAAUGCUGUUAUCUGUGCUUCACCUGCUGAGGCAUUAGGGUCUAGGGGUCUGUUGAAGGGAUUGAAGGUAAGAAUUAGAUAAACCUUUUUGAUGUUCUGUGGUCUUUUGGGAAUUGCACUGAUAUUUUUGUUAUAGUUCAGUUUUCUUCUCGCUGAUGAUUGUUAAGUUCUAAUUUAUGUAGUUGUUCAUUUUUCGUAGGCUACUUGUUAUCCGUCAUUUAUGGAGCAAUUAGCUCCUGCUUGUGCAACAACUGUUGAAUCAAGAGUACCACAGGAUGGUAAAGUUGUUACGAGUCGUGGACCCUGCACUACUAUGGAGUUUGCUGUUGCACUUGUUGAGCAGUUGUAUGGGAAAGAGAGAGCUGAUGAGGUUUCUGGGCCACUGGUAGUAACUUUUAUAGAUAAUGUUGUUUAAAAAAAUUGUGAGUUAUAUAAUUUGUUGAAAUUCAUUCUAAUAGGUUCAUCUGGUAUGUCAAAUUGGAAGGUUCAGAUGCUAAUGUAGUCCAAAAAAUUAGUUCAGGGGAAAAGUAUGACUUUUUGCAUUAGAGAUUUAUUAGAUGAAGUUGUAUACCUACUGGCCCAUCUUAAUAUGGUGAAAACGAUGUAAAAUCGGGAGAGGGGGUUCGGGGGAGAGGGGAAGCCCUCUCCAACCGCAAGGCCGUUAUUCUGACAUGAAUAGAGUAAGGCCUUUACUUUUAUAAAGAAAGGUCCCUGUUUUGCACGUCUCCACUGAUCACAUUCUUUUUAAUGUAAGUUCUUUCUCUUGGUAUUUGUCUUUGAUUUUUCUCUUCCUCAUGCUGUCGUCUGUCAAAAGAUUUGGCUGCAGCAUCUAGAAGUUUUGAAGAAGCAAAAUGGGUCACACGGCUUUGAAGUUCUAGAUGCCGUAAUGUUUGGUAAAAGUAAAAAAAAAUUCAAAGCUCAAAAAUUCAAAGUUCGAAAAACUGAAAUUUUUGAGCUGUAUGGCUUGUAAUUUUAUAGCCACUUUUUUGACUUUUAAGGAAAAGUUUUACCUAUAAAUACAAGCUCUCAAUUUAGAGCUUGCAUCCAAUUUUGUAAAGAGAGUCGAGAGCUGUGAAAAGCAAUUCUUGCAGAGCAGAGAGUUUGUAGAGCUUAAAUAAUAAAAGCUGUUGUUUUAAUGAUUUGAGAGUUUGGAUGUAUUGGGGUUUUGGGAAGUGAGCUAAAAUACUACAAUACUUGUAACUCCUUUUCACUAGUAAAAUAUUUUUCUUCUAUCUUCACCCAUGGACGUAGGUUAAAAGCCGAACCACGUAAUUUCCUGGUGUCCUCUUUGUGCUUCUUCUUGAUUUUUUUUUCCCAAUUUUACUUUAGUUGCGGCCCUGCUUCACCCGCCAAUUUCCUAACAGCGGUAUCAGAGCUAUUAGUUGUAUUAUUUGGAGUCGGGUACUAUUCACAUACGGUACUGUUCACAUAUACGGUACUAUUCAUGUAUACGUUACUAUUCACGUGAAACGGUGGGAGCAAUUCUAGUAUUGGCGAUGCAAAGCAGGGGAAUAGUGUGUGUGAGUGGAGUAAUUGUGUGGUUUUGGACAUGUGUAAGAAAGUUCUGUCACAAAGGCGAUAAGAGCCUAAGGAGUUAGGAUUUUAAGUGGGACUAUUGUGACCCCUCCAGUCUUUCCUGGGAACUUUCUUGGUGUGCUCUCACACAUACUCACAACUAUUCAAGCUGGUACACUAGUUUUGUACAAUAUUUAUCAACAAAAUGGUGGCAAAGUAUGAAAUUGAGAAGUUUAACGGAAAUAAUUUUUCGUUGUGGAAAAUGAAGAUGAAAGUUGUAUUGAAGAAAAAUAAUUGAUUGGCAGCAAUUAGAGAAAGGCCCAUGGAGAUAACUGAUGACAAGUGGAACAAGAUAUAUGGCAACGCCAUUUUUGAUCUACACUUGGCACUUACGGAUGAAGUAUUAUUCAGUGUGGCAGAGAAAACUACAGCGAAGGAAAUAUGGGAUACUCUCACAAAAUUGUACGAGACCAGGUCACUACACAACAAAAUCUUCUUAAAGAGGAAGCUCUAUACUCUUCGAAUGACGGAAUCUACAAUGGUGACCGACCACAUCAAUACCUUGAAGACUCUAUUUUCACAACUCACAACGUUAGGUCAUAAUAUAGAGGAAAAUGAACAUGCAGAGCUUCUACUUCAAAGUCUACCAGAUUCGUAUAAUCAACUCAUCAUCAACCUGACGAAUAAUAAUCCAGCGGACAGUUUGGUUUUCGACGAUGUUGCAGCCUCCGUAUUAAAUGAGGAGAGCAGGCGGAAAAAUAAGAAAAAUAGACAAGCAAGUUUGCAGCAAGCGGAGGCGUUAUCGGCGACGAGAGGGAGAUCAACGGAACGUGGCUGGCCCCAGUGGGAGUCACAAUCGUGGUAGAUCAAAAUCCAGAAGUAAGAAGAAUGUUAAAUGCUACAAUUGUGGUAAGAAAGGGCACGUCAAGAAAGAGUGUUAGAGUAACCAGAAGAGAAAAGAUGGCAAAAAACCUGAGUCAUCAAAUGCUCAGGGGUGUGUAGCAAGUACCUCGGAUGAUGACGAAAUUCUCUACAGCGAGGCAACAACUGUUUCAGAAGGUAGAAAAUGACUAUAUGAUGUCUGGCUUAUAGACUCAGGAGCUACCUGACACAUGACCUAUCGUAGAGAAUGGUUCCACACAUAUGAACAUAUCUCAGGAGAAUAUGCAUAUAUAGGUAAUGAUCAUGCCUUGGAGAUCGUUAGUAUUGGUACUAUCAAAAUAAAAAUAUUUGAUGGUACAAUUCGCACAAUUGAGGAGGUACAACAUAUCAGCGGCCUGAAGAAAAAUCUAUUGUCUUUGGGACAAAUGGAUAGUCAUAGGUACAAAACUCAUGUGGAGAAUGGAAUUAUGUAGAUCGUUAAAGGCGCGCUUGUAUUGAUGAAGGCAGAAAAGAUCAGUGCUAAUUUAUUCAUGCUUAAAGGAGAAACACUACAGGAGGCUGAUGUAUGUGUCGCGUCAAAUGGAGAAGAGUCAACGAUGAUGUGGCAUCUCAAACUUGGCCACAUGUCAGAACAAGGCUAGAAGAUUCUCUCUGAGUGAAAAUUGCUUCCAGGGUUCAAAUCGGUAAGUUUACCAUUUUGCGAGCAUUGUGUUAUAAGUAAGCAACAUAGAUUAAAGUUCAGUAGAUCUAUUACUAGAAGUAAAUGCAUUCUAGAAUUGAUUCAUUCUGAUGUUUAGGAAUCGCCGGAUAUGUCCAUGGGAGGUGCAAAGUACAUGGUGACUUUCAUUGAUGAUUAUUGCAGGAGAUGUUGGGUGUAUUCAAUUAAGAAAAAGUCAGAUGUAUUUCCAGUGUUUAAAGAAUACAAAGCGCGGGUGGAACUUGAAUUUGGUAAAAGGAUCGAGUGCUUGGGGACAAAUAAUGGUGGAGAGUAUACAGACGGCGAGUUUCUUGCUUUCUGUAAGCAAAAAGGUAUUUAGAGGUAGUUAAUGGUAGCAUACACUCCUCAACAAAACGGAGUGGCGAAGCGAAUGAACAUAACUCUUACAAAAAGAAUAAUAGCUAUGUUGAGGACUGCUGGUCUACCCAAUUCAUUCUGGGCAGAAGCAGCCAAAACUGCCUGUUAUAUCGUAAAUCGAUUGCCAUCUACAACAAUUGGGCUGAAGACAGCGAUGGAGAUAUGGACUGGAAAGCUAGCUGAUUACUCAUACCUACAUGCAUUUGGAUGUCCUGUGUACGUGAUGUACAAUGCCCAAGAAAGAAUAAAGCUUGAUCUAAAAUCUAGAAGAUGUAUCUUCUUGGGAUAUACUGAUGGAGUAAAGGGGUAUCGUCUGUAGGACCCCACUGCCCACAAGAUCGUCAUCAGCAGAGAUGUUAUUUUUUGUAGAAGAUCAACUACAAAGGAAAGAUAGAGAUGAUGACACUGUAAAAGAAAAGUCAGAGACUGUGCCAGUAUAUGUGGAAAAUAAUCCAGAAGAUUCAGAUUCUUCUGAAGCAACACCAGAGCAUGAAGAAUAAGAAUCAGUCGAGUUCGAGGCUCCAGAAGUUCGUCGGUUAACUCGUGAAAGACGACCGCCAACGUGACACUCGGAGUAUGUCACAGAGAUCAACGUUGCAUACUGUUUUCUAACAGAGGAUGGAGAGCCUUCAACUUUCCAUAAAUCUUUAAACAGCUCAGAUGUUACUUUAUGGAUGACAACAAUGCAGGAAGCAAUUGAGGCUCUACAUAAGAACAAGACAUUGGAGCUUGUACCACUACUACGUGGAAGAAAAGAUAUUGGAAACAAAUAGAUCUACAAGAUCAAAUGUGAUGGUAAUGACCAAGUGGAACGGUAUCAUGCAAGAUUGGUGGUGAAAUGAUAUGCUCAGAAAGAAGGUAUUGACUUCAACGGAAUAUUUUCUCUGGUGGUUUGACUCACAACAGUCAGAAUAGUCUUGGUAAUGUGUGCUACAUUUGACUUACAUCUUGAGCAGUUAGAUGUGAAAAUUGCAUUUCUUCAUGGAGAACUUGAAGAAGAAAUUUAUAUGCUCCAACCAGAAGGUUUUGCUGAAAAGGGAAAGGAGAACUUGGUUUGCAGGUUGAACAAAUCUUUAUACGGUCUCAAACAGGCACCGAUGUGUUGGUAUAAGAGAUUUGAUUCCUUCAUCAUAAGCCUCAGAUACAAUAGACUCAGCUCAGACCAAUGUGCAUAUUAUAAAAGGUUUGAAGAUAAUGAUUUCAUUAUUUUGAUAUUGUAUGUGGAUGACAUGUUGGUAGCAGGCCCCAACAAAGAUCGAGUCCAAGAAUUGAAGGUAUAAUUGAUUAGGGAGUUUGAAAUAAAGGACUUGGGACUAGAAAAUAAGAUUCUAGGGAUGCAAAUUCACCGAGACAGAAAUAACAGGAAGAUUUGGCUUUCUCAGAAGAACUACUUGAAGAAAAUUUUGCGACGCUUCAACAUGCAAGAUUGUAAGUCAAUUUCUACCCCACUUCCUGUUAAUUUCAAAUUAUCCUUAAGUAUGUGUCUGAGCAAUGAAGCAGAGAAGGAGGAGAUGUCUCGAGUACCGCAUGCAUCAGCAGUGGGAAGUUUGAUGUUCGCUAUGAUAUGUACUGGAUCGGACAUUGCACAAGCAGUGGGAGCAGUCAGUCGGUACAUGGCAAAUCCUAGUGGAGAGUAUUGGAUAACUGUGAAGAAGAUUCUGAGAUACAUCAGAGGAACCUCAGAUGUUGCAUUAUGUUAUGGAGGAUCAGAGUUUACUGUCAGGGGUUAUGUGGAUUCAGAUUUUGUAGGAGACUUUGAUAAAAGAAAAUCCACUAUUGGCUAUAUGUUUACACUUGCAGGAGAAGCUGUAAGCUGAGUUUUGAAACUGCAGACCGUUGUGGUUUUAUCUACAACAGAAGCAGAAUACAUGGCAGCUACACAAGCUUGGAAGGAAGCUAUCUGGAUACAAAGGUUAUUGGAGGAGUUCGGGCACAAACAAGAGAAAAUUUUUGUGUAUUGUGACAGUCAGAGUGCCUUGCAUAUUGUAAGAAAUCCAGCAUUUCAUUCAAGGACAAAGCAUGUAGGAGUUCAGUAUCACUUCGUUCAAGAAGUAGUGGAAGACGGAAGUGUGGAUUUACAGAAAAUCCAUACGAAGGAGAACCUAGCAGAUGUUUUGACCAAGCCGAUAAAUACUGAUAAGUUUGUCUGGAGUAGAUUCUCUUGUGGCCUAGCAGAAACGUAGGCAACAUGACAGUGGCGAAGCAGAAACGAUGGUGUGGAGAUUGAUUGAUCCUCAAUCAAAUCUCCAAGUGGGAGAAUGUCAAAAGAUUUGGCUGCAACAUCUAGAAGCUGCAUCUAGAAGUUUUGAAGAAGCAAAAUGGGUGGCACAUGACUUUGAAGUUCUAGAUGCUGUAAUGUUUAGUAAAAGAAAAAGAAAAAAAUUCAAAGCUAAAAAAUUCAAAGUUUGAAAAUCUAAAAUUUUUGACCUGUAUGGCUUGAAAUUUUAUAGCCACGUUUUUUACUUUUGAGGCAAAGUUUUGCCUAUAAAUACAAGCUCUCAAUUUAGAGCUUGCAUCCAAUUUUGUAAAGAAAGUCGAGAGCUGUUAGAAGCAAUUCUUGCAGAGCAGAGAGUUUGUAGAGCUUAAAUAAUAAAAGCUCUUGUUUUAGUGAUUUGAGAGUUUAGGUGUAUUAGGGUUUUGGGAAGUGAGCUAAAAUACUACAAUACUUGUAACUCUUUUUCACUAGUAAAAUAUUUUCCUUCUGUCUUCGCCCGUAGAAGUAGGCUAAAAGCCGAACCACGUAAUUUCCUGGUGUCCUCUUUGUGCUUGUUCUUUAUUUUUUUUCAAUUUUAUUUUAGCUGCGGCCCUGCUUCACCCACCAAUUUUCUAACAUCGUCUUCACUGUCACCCUGUGCCUAGGUAAUGCGUGCAAAUCAUGGGGUUGAAUACACUAUUGCUGAAUUCAAUCCAAUUCAGUGGACAUUUGACAAUUCUCCCCAGGUGAGAUUGGACUUCUAGUUUCUUGUAUUUGUUUUUCUUCAUCCGAUGUUUUCAGGGAUACCUAUUUGGCAGUAUAUAAAAAUCUGUGAUAUCGUCUAUACAUAUACAUAUACAUCAUUGGCUUCAGUCAUUUGUGAACAUAUUGGUGGUAGUAGAUGUAUUUUUAUGAUAUCUCUAAUAAAAUCCUAAGUUUGAUUAAUUACAAAAGAAGUAUGAGCGGUGCUGGACCGGGGGGGAGGGGGGAGGAGUGGGGUGUCGGUGUGUUGGGGGUGUGCAGUGCAUGAAUAAAAGGAAAUGAUAGGGGGUGAAAGUUUGUGCUACCGACAUGCUGUAAAAUGGGGACACAAUAUUUCAAAUUAGAGAUUGUGAGAUCCUUAAUAUUGCUGACUUGUGCUUAAAAUGGAAUUCUUGAUAACUUCAAAUGUUAAAGUUCUUGGUGAAAUUUUGUACUUUCUUUUCUUUCAGAUUCUUGUGCCUAUUGCAAAUGGUUCAGAGGAGAUGGAAGCUGUUAUGAUAAUUGAUAUUCUGCGACGAGCUAAAGCAAAUGUUGCAGUUGCAUCAGUUGAGGAUAAACUAGAAAUUCUGGCUUCGUCAAAUUAAAUUAGUGGUAGAUGUGCUCAUUGAUGAGGCGGCUAAACUUUCGUAUGAUUUAGUUGUCUUGCCAGUGAGUUGGGGUGCUUACUCUUGCUUCAUAGUCUUUACCACAUUAUUGACUUACUAACUACAAUUUAUCCAUGCACAUUGCACAGGGUGGACUUGGUGGCGCUCAAGCAUUUGCGAAGUCAGAUAAAUUGGUGAAUAUGCUAAAGAAGCAAAAGGAAUCAAAUAGACCUUACGAUGCUAUAUGUGCAUCCCCAGCUUUAGUGUUGGAGCCCCGUGGCUUACUCAAGGUACGACCAUUUCUGCUUAAAUUAUUUACUCAGAUUUGGAUCACCUAAUCUGAACUUGAUGAGAGAUUAUGAUGUUGUAUGAUUUUAUGAAUGUGGUCUUAUCUCAUGUAAGUCAGUGAUGAAUUAAUUGGAGUUUGUUGACAAAUUAGAAGCUGAAAAACUGCUGCUGCUUCGUUAGUUACAUUACCCAAAGAGUUAAAAUUAACAUCACAAAUUUGUUAUCCCAAAUGAUAUGGCAUUUAUUGAGUGAUUGGUAUUAAUUGUAUUAUCUAACCCACCAACAGAUGAAUGCCG